GGGAGGGGUGCCCUGUGACCGUGAGUGUGUGGCAGAGCUUCACGCACUGGUUAAUUGGACUGAUGUUCACUUGGAAGGGGGAAAUGGAGCUCACCGGAGCGACGGGGAAGCACGGCGGCGCUAGCUCGAUUGGCUCGGGGAGAAGCGGAGGAGUUGGCCGGAGCUGGUGUGGAGAGAAUGGGGCUCGGGCGGCUCCUUUUAUAGGCGCCCGGGAGAGGGGGAGGGAUGGAGGGGACGGCGAGCACCGACGAGCUCGCCAUGAUGGCGGGAAUGGAGCUAACGGCGAUUGGGACGGCUCGGGCAGACGAGGGUGAGGGGACGGCUCGGGCACAGUGGCGGGGUGGUCGCUGAGGCCGGUGCAAGCCUUAAUGGAGAGGCGACGGGGCGUGAGGCGCUCGGCGGCGAACGCGCCGGUGAGGCAUGGGCGAGACGACAGUGCUGACAGGCGAGCUCGGGCUGCCAGGGAGAGAGAGCGGCGCGAGAGGGAGGGAGUCGAGUCACUGACCGGUGAGGCUGAUCUGUCAGCGGAGGCGUGGGUGCGCGAAGUUGGGCCGCGUGGGCCGGGAGAGGGGGGGAGAAGCGCGGGCGCGACGCGGGUUGGGCCAGAAUCGGCCCAGCCGAGGGGGGGUUUCUUUUCUUUUUUUUCUGAUUUCUAUUUCUUUUCUUUUCCUUUUCUACUUUUGUUUCUUUUCACUUCUUUUUGCUUUGAAUCAAAAAUUUUCGAAAUGAUCUUGAGUGAUGAAUAUAGUCUAUGUGAGGUGCUCCUAUCAUUUCAAGUGUAUGCACAUGAUGAGAUGAUCUAAGGGUGGAGUUUUAGGGAGAAAAUAAAAUAAGAGGUGGGGGGGUUAGGAGGUUAGGGUUCCAAACCAUGGGUUGGGAUUUUUGGGAUGUUACAGCCUCGCCCGACCUUAGGCCUUGGCCUCGGAAGGAGGUCUUCGCCUCGCCCGACCCUAGGGCUCAGCCUCAACCUCGGCCUCGAAAGGUGGUCUCCGCCUCGCCCGACCCCAGGGCUCGGCCUCAACCUCGGCCUCGGGAGGAAUCGCGUCCUCACCCGACCCCGGCCUCGGCCUCAGGAGGAGUCUCCGCCUCGCCCGACCUUGGGCUCGGACCGACUGUGCCACAGGGGAUACAUCAUUACCCUACCCCUAGCUAGCUCAGGCUACGGGGGAACAAGACCGGCGUCCCAUCUGGCUCGCCCCGGUGACAAGUAAUGAUGGCUCCCCGUGUGCGUCCAUGAUGACGGUGGUUCUCAGCCCCCUACGGAAGCAAGAAGACGUCAGUAAGAUCGCAGCAGCACCGACAGCUGUGCUUCUACAGGGCUCAAGCACUUCUCCGACGGCCACGUUAUCGCCUACGCAGGGCUCAAGCACUUCUCCGAUAGCCACGUUGGCAUGUACACAGGGCUCAGGCACUUCCCUUCCAGACACGUUAGCGCCUAGCUACACCCCCAUUGUACACCUGGACCCUCUCCUUGCAUCUAUAAAAGGGAGGUCCAGGGCCUUCAUGCGAGAGGGUCGCGCGGGAGAACGAGCUAACGAACAGGCUCACUCUCUCUCGCGAACGCUUGUAACCCCUACUACGAGCACACCCCCUGGCGCGGGAUAACACGAGCCGCGUUUCCCCCUUGUGUUCCAUCUCGCGCCAACCCAUCUAGGCUAGGACACACAGCGAAAAAUUUACUCGUCGGUCUAGGGACCCCCCGGGGUCGAAACGCCGACAGUUGGCGCGCUAGGUAGGGGCCUGCUGCGUGUUAACGAACAACUUCCCGUUGAGUUCCAGAUGGGUAGUCUUCAGCAACCUCUUCAGCCCGGGAUGCCGCUCUGCUUCGGGAGCCUCAAGUUCAUGUCCCUCGACGGCAGCUACGACAUGGUACUCCUCCCCUCGCAGCGCGACAGCAACAACGAUGGCCGUCAGCUCGCCCGGCGGCGGCGAACUCGACGACGUCUUCCCCCCGUGGCGGAGGAGCAGCAUCCGGGUUUGUCCCGCCACCCUCCUCGCCGCAGAAGGAGGAGACGGGGCAACCGUGGCCAUGCAGGAGGCAGCGCCUCGUCGGCUGUCGAGCGAGUCGACGACACCGAUGCCCCAGCGAGGGACAUGUCGGGCGUUGUCCUCGCGCUUGAGACAACGACAGAUGUCGUUUCCCCGCAACGUGCCAUCCCUAAGCGGACAGAUGACGCCAGCACACUCGCGAAGGGCUUGCUGGGCGUUAGCCUCGUACCUGAGAUAACAGUGUAGUUCGUCCCCAACGCGACUUCAUCACCGUCCAUCGAUCAAGAGGUACCGUCCGUUUUCCACCCUAUGCCUUUUAGAUUCAGCUUCGAUCCACCAAGCGACUCCGCUUCGGUGAGCGCUUUCGUAAAGGCAUAUCCUAACCUUCCGGGGUACCAUAUUUGGUCAUCUUGGGACCGACUGAUGGCCGUCUCAACCUACGGGCCCCUGAGUUCCGAGGAAGAGGACGGUCCUGACUCCGGUUGGGAUUUCUCUGGGCUCCGCGAUCCUAGUGCCAUGCGAGACCUCAUGACCGCAUGUGACUACUACCUCUCCGAUUGCUCCGAUGAUGGCCACAGCCUCGACGACGAGGGUUGUGGCCCAAGUCGCGAAUGUUUCCACGUCGAUCUAGGGGGUCACGACGAAGGAAACCACCUCGGUAUGCUGGAGGAUGACGAUCCCCUGGGCCUGCGCCUCGCGUUGACAUCCUGCGGGAGCUAGCUGUGGUCCCAGUCCCUGUGGGGGGUCAGGACACACAGCUCGAGCAAAUCCGCGAGAUGCAAGCCAAGCUCGACGAGGAAGCAGGGCAACUUGUGCAACUCCGGCAAAACAUCGAGCAGGAGUGGGCAGGCCGAGCACUCGCCGGAGAAGCGCGUCAUCAGGCCCGAGACGUCUAGCACCGUAUCGUUGACGAUGCCAGGGCAAGGCUGCCCCCGGCCUCCAGCGGGGUCGGCCAGAAUCUAGCUGCAGCGGCAAUACUACUCCGAGCAAUACCGGAGCCAUCCACCACCGAGGGGCGGCGUAUCCAGGGAGAACUCAAGAAUCUCCUGGAGGAUGCCGCGGUCCGACGGGCCGAAAGCUCUGCCUCCCGAAGGCAAGGGUGCCCCCUGGAGCAUCGUGCAACGACUUCCCGACUCACGAGGGAGGCCUCAGUCCACACCGGGCGCACGCGGGACACGACGCCUGCAGCCCCGGGUCGCCUCGGCAACGAGCACCACCGCCGCGACCAUCGAGCCCGCCUUGACGAGAAGGCGCGCCGAGGCUACCACCCCAGGCGUGGGGGACACUACAACAGUGAGGAGGAUCGGAGCCCCUCGCCUGAACCACCAGGUCCGCAAGCCUUCAGCCGGGACAUACGACGGGCGUCGUUCCCAGCUCGGUUCUGGGCCCCGACUACCAUCACCAAGUACUCUGGGGAAACAAGGCCGGAGUUGUGGCUUGCGGACUACCGGCUGGCCUGCAAGCUGGGAGGGACGGACGAUGACAACCUCACCAUCCGCAACCUCCCUCUGUUCCUCUCCGACGCUGCCCGGGCCUGGCUGGAGCAUCUGCCUCCCGCGUAGAUCUCCAACUGGGACGACCUGGUCAAGGCUUUCGCUGGAAACUUCCAGGGCACGUACGUGCGCCCUGGGAACUCCUGGGAUCUCCGAAGCUGCCGCUAGCAGCCAGGGGAAUCCCUGCGAGAGUACAUCCGACGGUUUUCAAAGCAGCACACCGAGCUGCCCAACAUCACCGACUCGAAUGCCGCGACCUAGUGAGCAAACUGGGCUGCAAGACUCCCACCAAGGCGAGCGAGUUGAUGGACAUCGCCACCAAGUUCGCCUAUGGUCAGGAGGCGGUUGAAGCCAUCUUCCGGAAGGACAAGCAGCCUCAGGGACGCUAGCAGGAAGACGUCCCCGAGGCGUCCGCCCAGCGGAGCACGAAGAAGAAGGCCAAGAAGAAGGCGCAAGCAAAGCGCGACACCGCAGACGCGGAUCUCGUCGCUGCUGUCGAACACAGGAACCCACGAAAGCCUCCUGGAGGGGCCAACCUGUUCGACAAGAUGCUCAAGGAGUCGUGCCCCUACCACCAGGGUCUCGUCAAGCACACCCUUGAGGAAUGCGUCAUGCUUCGGUGCUACUUCCAUAAGGCCGGGCCACCGGCAGGAGAUGGCAAAGACCAAGACAACGACAAGAAGGAGGGCAACAAGGCAGAGGAGUUCCCCGAGGUCCAUAGCUGUUUCAUGAUCUACGGUGGGCAAGUGGCGAACGCCUCGACUCAGCACCGCAAGCAGGAGCGCCGGGAGGUCUGCUCGGUAAAGGUGGCGGCACCAACCUACCUAGACUGGUCUGACAAGCCCAUCACCUUCGACCAAGGCGACCACCCCGACUGCGUGCCGAGCCUAGGAAAGUACCGGCUCGUUGUCGACCCCGUCAUCGGCAACACCAGGCUCACCAAGGUCCUCAUGGACGGGGGCAGUAGCCUCAACAUCAUCUACGCCGAGACCCUCGGGCUCUUGGGGAUCGAUUUGUCCACGAUCCGGGCUGGUGCGGCACCCUUUCACGGGAUCAUCCCCGAGAAGCGCGCCCUGCCCCUUGGACAACUCGAUCUGCCCGUCUGCUUCGGAACUCCCUCCAACUUCCGAAAGGAAACCCUCACGUUCGAGGUGGUUCCGAGGGACCUACCACGCGGUGCUGGGUAGACCGUGCUACGCCAAGUUCAUGGCCGUCCCCAACUACACGUACCUCAAGCUCAAGAUGUCAGGCCCCAACGGGGUCAUCACCGUCGGAUCCACGUACCGACACGCGUACGAAUGCGACGUGGAGUGCGUGGAGUAUGCUGAGGCCCUCGCCGAGUCCGAGGCCCUCAUCGCCGACCUAGAGUGCCUCUCCAAGGAGGCGCCUGAUGCGAAGCGCCAUGCUGGCAACUUCGAACCGGCUGAGGCGGUUAAGUCCGUCCCCCUCGACCCCAGCAACGACGCCUGCAAGCAAGUCCGGAUCGGCUUCGAGCUCGACCCCAAAUAGGAAGCAGUGCUCAUCGACUUUCUCCGCGCAAACGCCGAAGUUUUUGCGUGGAGUCCUUCGGACAUGCCCGCCAUACCGAGGGAUGUCGCCGAGCACUCACUGGAUAUCCGAGCCGGUGCCCGACCUGUGAAGCAACCCCUGCGCCGUUUCGACAAAGAAAAGCGCAGAGCCAUAGGCGAGGAGAUCCACAAGCUGAUGGCCGCAGGGUUCAUCAAAGAGGUAUUCCAUCCCGAAUGGCUAGCUAACCCUGUGCUUGUGAAAAAGAAAGGUGGGAAAUGGAGGAUGUGCGUAGAUUACACUGGUCUAAAGAAAGCAUGUCCGAAGGUUCCCUACCCUCUGCCUCGCAUCGAUCAAAUUAUGGACUCCACUGCUGGUUGCGAAACCCUGUCAUUCCUCGACGCCUACUCAGGGUAUCACCAAAUCAAGAUGAAAGAGUCCGACCAGCUCGCGACUUCUUUCAUCACACCUUUUGGCAUGUACUGUUAUACUACUAUGCCAUUUGGCUUGAGGAAUGCAGGUGCAACAUACCAAAGGUGCAUGAACCACGUGUUCGGAGAGCACAUCGGCCGAACGGUCGAGGCUUAUGUCGAUGACAUCAUUGUCAAGACGAGGAAAGCCUCCGACCUCCUCUCUGACCUUGAAACGACAUUCAAGUGUCUGAGAGCGAAGGACGUGAAACUCAAUCCCGAGAAGUGUGUCUUCGGAGUCCCCUGAGGCAUGCUCCUAGGGUUCAUCGUCUCCGAGCGGGGCAUCGAGGCCAACCCGGAGAAAAUCGUGGCCAUCACCAACAUGGGGCCUAUCAAAGAUUUGAAAGGAGUACAAAGGGUCAUGGGAUGUCUUGCGGCUCUGAGCUGCUUCAUCUCGCGCCUCGACGAAAAAGGCCUACCCUUGUACCGCCUUUUAAGGAAGGCCGAGCGCUUCACUUGGACCCCCGAGGCCGAGGAAGCCCUAAGAAACUUAAAGGCGCUCCUUACAAACGCGCCCAUCUUGGUGCCCCUCGCUGCGGGAGAAGCCCUCUUGAUCUACGUAGCCGCAACCACUCAGGUGGUUAUCGCCGCGAUCGUAGUCGAGAGACAAGAAGAAGGGCAUGCACUGCUCGUCCAGAGGCCGGUCUACUUCAUCAGUGAAGUGCUAUCCGAGACCAAGAUCCGCUACCCGCAAAUCCAGAAGCUACUGUAUGCAGUAAUUCUGACGCGGCGAAAAUUGCGACACUACUUCGAGUCUCAUCCAGUGACUGUGGUGUCAUCCUUCCCCCUGGGGGAGAUCAUCCAGCGCCGAGAGGCCUCGGGUAGGAUAGCAAAGUGGGAAGUGGAACUCAUGGGCGAGACAAUCUCGUUCGCUCCUCGGAAGGCCAUAAAAUCCCAAGUCUUGGCGGACUUCGUGGCUGAAUGGGUCGACACCCAACUGCCAACAGCUCCGAUCCAACCCGAGCUUUGGACCAUGUACUUCGAUGGGUCGCUGAUGAAAACGGGAGCAGGUGCUGGCCUACUCUUCAUCUCACCCCUCGGGAAACAUCUCCGCUACGUGCUGCGCCUCCAUUUCCCGGCGUCAAACAACGUGGCCGAGUACGAGGCUUUGGUUAACGGGCUGCGCAUCGCCGCCGAGCUAGGGGUUUGGCGCCUCGACGCUCGCGGCGACUCGUAGCUUGUCAUUGACCAAGUCAUGAAGAACUCCCACUGCCGCGACCCGAAGAUGGAGGCCUACUGCGACGAAGUUCGACGCCUGUAAGACAAGUUCUACGGGCUGGAGCUCAACCACAUCGCUCGACGGUACAACGAGACUGCGGAUGAGCUGGCGAAAAUAGCCUCGGGGCGGACAACGGUUCCCCCUGAUGUCUUCUCCAGAGACAUACAUCAACCCUCCGUCAAGAUCGACGACACGCCCGAGCCCGAGGAGGCCUCGGCCCAGCUCGAGGUAUCCUCGGCCGCCGAGGGUGAGGCCUUGCGCAUCGAGGGAGAGCGGGAUGGGGUUGCGUCAAACCGAAACUGGCAGACCCCGUACCUGGAAUAUCUCCUCCGAGGAGAGCUACCCCUCGACAAGGCCGAAGCUCGGCGACUGGCGAGGCGUGCCAAGUCGUUCGUCUUACUGGGUGAUAAAAAGGAGCUCUACCACCGCAGCCAUUUAGGCAUUCUCCAACGAUGCAUAUCCGUCGUCGAAGGACAGGAGCUAUUGCAAGAUAUACACUCGGGGGCUUGCGGUCACCACUCAGCGCCUCGAGCCCUCGUGGGAAACGCCUUCCGACAAGGUUUCUACUGGCUGACCGCGGUGGCCGACGCCACUAGGAUUGUACGCUCUUGCCAAGGGUGUCAAUUCUACGCAAGACAGACGCACCUGCCCGCUCAGGCCCUGCAGACAAUACCCAUCACCUGGCCAUUUGCUGUGUGGGGUCUGGACCUCGUCAGUCCCUUGCAGAAGGCACCCGGGGGCUCCUCACACCUGCUGGUCGCCAUCGACAAAUUCUCCAAAUGGAUCGAGGUCCGACCCUUAACGAGCAUCAGGUCCGAGCAGGCAGUGGCGUUCUUCACCAACAUCAUCCAUCGCUUUGGGGUCUCGAACUCCAUCAUCACCGACAACAACACGCAGUUCACUAGGAAGAAGUUCCUAGACUUCUGCAAGGACCACCACAUCCGUGUGGACUGGGCCGCCGUAGCUCACCCUAUGACGAAUGGGCAGGUGGAGCGUGCCAACGGUAUGAUUCUGCAGGGACUUAAAAGAGGAUCUACAACGACCACAACAAGUUCGACAAGCGGUGGAUGAAAGAGCUACCCUCGAUGGUCUGGAGUCUGAGGACGACGCCGAGCCGAGCCACGGGUUUCUCGCCGUUCUUUCUAGUCUAUGGGGCCGAGGCUAUCUUACCCAAAGACUUAGAAUACGGUUCCCCGAGGACAAAGGCAUACGAUGACCGAGGCAACCAGGCCAGCCGAGAAGACUCACUGGACCAGCUGGAAGAGGCUCGGGACAUGGCCUUACUACACUCGACGCGGUAUCAGCAGUCUCUGCGACGCUACCACGCCCGAGGGGUUCGACCCCGAGGCUUCCAGGUGGGAGACUUAGUACUUCGGCUGCGGCAGGACGCCCGAGGGCGCCACAAACUUACUCCUCUCUGGGAAGGGCCGUUCAUCAUUGCCAAGAUUUUGAAGCCCGGAACAUACAAGCUGGCCAACGAUCAAGGCGAGGUCUACAGCAACGCUUGGAACAUCCAACAGCUAUGUCGCUUUUACCCUUAAGAUGUUUUCAAGUCGUUCAUAUACCUCACUUUUCUUUACAUACAUAAAUAAAGUCUAACCGUCAAGGAAGGAUCAGCCUUGCCUCGGCAAAGCCCGACCCUCCCUCGGGGGCUAGAAGGUGGGAACCCCCUCUGCGUCAAAAUUUUCCUCAGAAAAAGUCUUUUGCGCUUUUCGACUGCUUCGAUAGCGAGAUCCUGAAAACGACGAGAGUACACGUAAGUGGCAAGGCUGACCGAGCCGAGGGACUCCUACGCCUCCGGGAUACGGAUACCUUACUCAUCACCUUCCGCAAUAAGUAACUCACGCUCGGAUAAGCGAUUCUGCUACCGAACAAGUCCUAACGCUCGAAAACUUUUCUGCCAGAACGAUUUUCGUGCCUUCUUGACUAUAUCGAUAACAGAAUCCUGCGAACGAGUAAGAGUGCACGUAAGCGGCAAGGCCGACCGAGCCGAGGGACUCCUACGCCUCCGGGAUACGGAUACCUCACUCAUCACCUUCCGCGAAAAGUAACUCUCGCUCAAUAAGCGAUUCUGCUAUCGAUGAACAAGUCUUGAUACUCGAAACAAGAGGAAAGAAAACGUAGCUUUAUAAUACGACAAUAAGAUGUUUAGGCCUCGACGGCCGCAAAAAACAUACGCAUACUACAGACAAACUGUUCCUGCAGGUUCAGACAUCGACAGAGGGAGCAGCAACACCCUCGGCGUCGUUUCCACCCUCGCGGGACCUGGCCCAGCCUCGGACGGCGAUACGGACGGAAGGAUUUCCACCCCAUGGGAGGACGCCAGCAUCGCGCUUGGGCCCCCACGGCCAAGUUCUCCGCAAGGGUUCCAUCCCGAAGCGGACGCCUCGGCUGGCCGCUCUGUAUCCUUAGCCAGCUGUCCCCCGAGGACCUCAGCCCGGCUCACGGCCUCGGCAGCGUGACUCCGGGGUUGGUCCUGCUAGCGGACGACCUGGCCAAGCCCCAGCCGUCGCCGCUGCACCUCCUCGGCAAGGGAAGCCACGUGCUCCCGGGCCGACGAAGCCUCUUUUCGAGCCGACUCCGCCUCUGUCCAUGCUGACACUGCUGCCUCCAGCUUCGGCUCAUCGCAGAGCGGCCUAAGGUUCUAUAACUGAGCAAGAGAAGCCUUGAGCGGCAAGGCCGACCGAGCCGAGGGACUCCUACGCCUUCGGGAUACGAAUACCUCACUCGUCACCUUCCGCGCAAGGCAACUCACACUCGGUUAAGCGGUUCAGCUAGCCGACAGGCGAGUCCUAGUGCUCGAAAUGAGGAAGAAACACAUCUUCACGCCCAAAUACCCAGAUGUUCAGGCCUCGACAGCCACAAUGAACAAACACCCAUACUCAGGGUGCUAUUACAAACGGAACUCCGGUUCCACUCCCGCGGGUAUGAACUACCUCCACACCAGAGGGCCUGCGGGACAACAAACUCCAGGUGGCUCGCCGGCGACCACUGCACCAGCAGUGACAACGACCUCCGCUUCGGGCGGCUAAACAGCAGCAGCGAUGACCUCAGGGCAAGCGCUGCUAUGGAAAGGCCCUCGCCCACGCCCCCACACGAGGGGCGAGGACAAGCCAUCAAAGCCAAAGAGCCGGGGGUCCGACCGCAGGUGGCGCUGACGGUCUCGUCGGCGGAGAAACCUUCUCUGGCGGCCACCACCUCGGCACCGACGGCAGCGGCCACCUGCGUGCCAGUGCCACGCCGACGAAUGGCGGCCGCCCCAGCCUGCAGCGACAGAUCCCCACUCAAGUCCUCACGGACGGAUCAGCACCAGCCUCCACGCGGAGGCGCCAUGCUGGAGUGAGGACAAGACAAUCCAAGAACACGAACGCCGCCCUAGCGGCGUGUGACGUCUUGGACGAUCCCCCGGUGCAGUCGGCAACGCGGGGAGGGCCACAGACAUGCCCGACCUGCUCGCGGCGCGACUGUCGCCCAUGCGGUGGACGGACAGCCACGCCCGAAUCAAGCGGCAGGAGGCAGCGUCGGACGCUGCGACAGAGCCAGCUGAGCCAGCGAGCCAGGCACGCUGGAGCUGACGACGCUUGCGGCUGACCGGUCCCGCGUUGUCGAAGUUCGCCCCCUCCGUAAGGCAGGUGAGCGCCCUCUCCCCUGAAUGCUGAAGGGAGAGGCGACCUGCCGGCCCAUGCGGGAGGUAGAACCCCAGCUCAGCUUGCCCUCCGCCACAACAAGGAUGAUGAAGAUCCUUGAAGCUGAGGGCGGGGCAGAGGUCGCAGCCCGACUUGCUUCUCCCCACCACCAAACUGGUGGUCAUCAUCCUAGAUGACUAUUGGCGAGGGAAUGCAGCCGAACUGCAUGAUGAAAAUCCUUGAAGCCGAGCGAUGGCUGAAGGGUGCCAACCCCCGCGAGGUCGCGCUCCUCCAACAGCAGCAAGACGAAGGCAACGCGGGUGCCCCCCAUCCGGGGGCUCGGAAGGUGGAAGGGCACGAUGCAUGAGGGGAGUGCGAAGACAUGGCUACCGCCCGGGGGAUCGACCCCUUUUUAAAGGCGACUCUCCCCACUCGCAUCCUCAAGCGUCACGGGCAAAGUCUUCACCGACGUGCUCCGGGGUCCUCCCCCUACGACACGGGGGCUAGGUCCCACACGUCAUGCAAGCUGACCAGAAACGGAAGAAGCCAAACCACUGCGCGCGAAGCAGGAGGCGUGCAACCGCACCACGGUUGUGCACCCUUUCGGCUUCAUCGCAUCCGGUGGGUCAGCGUGAAGGCCUGGGCCCGCAUGUCAUGCAACCGGCGCAACAGUUACUGCGUGCAAGGAAACCGCACCGCUGCUCGCACCAAUGCCGCGUCUCCUCGACUGCGGAACCAGUGCCGCGACUUGAGGCAGCCCUGCACAUGACCCAACAGUGCCAAUUGAGCACAACGAUCACGAGUCAGUCAGCCGCGGGAGGAGGCGCGACAGUUGAUGUGGCCAAAAGUGGACCGACAGUAAUGGCGGCAGCAGACGAGCGAAAGCAGCGGUCAAAUCGCCUGCAGGCUCGCGUCCCCUCCUAAAGCGGCAGGGGAGCCCUCUCCCACGGCGUGAAGGCGAAACACCCGUUCCUCAAACGACUCGCGCACGCACAACGACCACCCCGCGAAUCGCCCGUCCCGUCGCAUUAACUCCUCGGCAGGGCAAGCGUCACCUUUGGCAGGCGAAGCGGGCGACGUUUCACCUCCGCCAUAAUGACCGCGUCAAAAAAGGUGCGCCACCCCAUUUAAAUUCAUAUCCUUUUCCUCUUCCCCUUUCUCUCUCUUGCUACAGGGACCGGGAAAGGGGAUAUUUCGAAAGGGAUCCUUCUCCGCGAAGGAAGCGGGCCCCGAGCCCUCCUACUGAUCAGGGGUUCGAAGGCUGGCCCCUCGGAAGGGUUCGACAGCCGCCCCAGAGCACUCGGGCUUCAAGCUCAUUACUGAUCAGGGGUUUGAAGGCUGGCCCCUCAGAAGGGUUCGAUAGCUGCCUCAGAGCACUCAGGCUCCGCGCCCACUACUGAUCAGGGGUUCGAAGGCUGGCCCCUCGGAAGGGUUCGACAGUCGCCCAGAGCAUGCAAAGCGAGGGAUGACUCUGGGUACGUCCGUUACAUGGCCGAGGCUCGGGCUACGCUCCCGAGGUACCCUAGGACAUUUCUGAGACCAGCAGGAGCAAUUUUGUAACGGAAUCCCAUCAGAGGGAGGCAUCGAGCCCUUGGACCCUAUCGAAUGGGUCCGGGUCCGGCAAAUCACCUGCAGGUACCUCUGGAGCGCGCCUCUGGGCCACUAGCCGACCCUUAUCGAACGGGGCACGGGCGUCCACUCGGAUCACCCGUUAGCAACUCACUGGAGACACCAUGUUCAGCGCCCUCCGAGGGCAACAUGGCGCUUUCCCCCCUUCCUCCUUGUGGAAAGGCGACGAAGGGGCGUAUAAUAAAAGUCGAGACAGUCCUUGAUCGUCCUCUCGCUCCGUGCAGAGGCUCGGGGGCUGCUCUCGCAAACCGGCUACAGUCAAACCGUUGACAGCGUCAACAAACCAGCCUAAAAACUCGGAACCUGACCAUGCACCCGGGCUACGACCAGGCCGCAUGAGGGAGCGACAAGGCUAGCCGAGGCAUCACGAAAGACAUUAAGGCCUCAGAGGAGUCAAACCACUCCUCCGAGGCCUCGGGGGCUACACCCGGCGGGUGCGCUCGCGCGCACCCACCGGAACAAAGUAUAACCGAGAAAGGCCGGUCCCCUCACAAAAAGUGCGGCAAAGCCUCCAAGCGAGUGCCAACACUCCCUUUGAGGCUCGGGGGCUACUGUUGGGUACCAUAAUUAGGGGUACCCCCAACACUCCUACACACGGCUGGUAACCACCAUCAGCACGAACCGCAAAGACUGAUGGGCACGAUUCAGGUCAAGGCUUCGUCUACCCAAGGGGCGCGAUCUCGCCUCGCCCGAGCCCAGCCUCGGGCAGGAACUGUAGUCCCGAACGAAGUUAUGUCUCGCCAGAGGGCCUCCUCAGGCAGUAGCCGCACCCUCGGCACGCCCGAGGCCCAACUCGAGCAGGCUUCGUCAAGAAGCAACCUUGGCCAAAUCGCCUCUCCAACCGACCAUAUCACAGGCGCAUUCAAUGCGAGGAUCGCCUGACACCUUCUCCUGACACGCGUGCCUCAGUCGGCAAGGUCGAAGUGACCGCAAUCACUUCGCCCUUUCACUGACCGACCUGACAGGAAAACAGCGCCGCUCGCCCCGCUCCGACUGCUAUGCCACCCACUAGGGUGAGGUUGACAACAGCCAAGUUCAGCCUCGGGCACAACAGGAAACUCCGCCUUGCCCGACCUUAGGCCUCGGCCUCGGAAGGAGGUCUCCGCCUCGCCCGACCCCAUGGCUCGGCCUCAACCUCGACCUCGGAAGGUGGUCUCCGCCUCGCCCGACCCCAGGGCUCGGCCUCAACCUCGGCCUCGGGAGGAAUCGCGUCCUCACCCGACCCUGGCCUCGGCCUCAGGAGGAGUCUCUGCCUCGCCCGACCGCGCCACGGGGGAUACAUCAUUACCCUACCCCUAGCUAGCUCAGGCUACGGGGGAACAAAACCGGCGUCCCAUCUGGCUCGCCCCGGUGACAAGUAAUGAUGGCUCCCCGCGUGCGUCCAUGACAACGGUGGUUCUCAGCCCCCUACGGAAGCAAGGAGACGUCAGCAAGAUCCCAGCAGUACCGACAGCUGUGCUUCUACAGGGCUCAAGCACUUCUCCGACGGCCACGUUAUCGCCUACGCAGGGCUCAAGCACUUCUCCGACAGCCACGUUGGCAUGUACACAGGGCUCAGGCACUUCCCUGCCAGACACGUUAGCGCCUAGCUACACCCCCCAUUGUACACCUGGACCCUCUCCUUGCAUCUAUAAAAGGGAGGUCUAGGGCCUUCAUGCGAGAGGGUCGCGCGGGAGAACGAGCUAACGAACAGGCUCACUCUCUCUCUCGCGAACGCUUGUAACCCCUACUACGAGCACACCCCCCCUGGCGCGGGAUAACACGAGCCGCAUUUUCCCCCUUGUGUUCCAUCUCGCGCCAACCCAUCUGGACUGGGACGCGCAACGACAAAUUUACUCGUCGGUCCAGGGACCCCCCGGGGUCGAAACGCCGACAACGAGAUACGCCUAAGUAUACUUCUUCUAGUGAUGAGGAAUCUUCUGACGAUGAGGUAGAUUACAAUGAUCUAUUUAGAGGUUUAGAUAGAUAUAAAAUAGAUAAAAUAAAUAAAUUUAUUGAUGCUCUCAAUGAAAAAGAUAGGCUUCUAUAAAAGCAAGAAGAUAUUCUUUAUGAGGAACAUGAUAAAUUCAUUAAUGUUCAAAAAUCUCUUGCUCUAGAAAUUAAGAAAAAUGAACUAUUGACCUCUGAGUUAUCUACUUGUAAUGACUCUAUCUCUAAGCUUAAGAAUUUAAAUUUUGAUUUAAAUACUAAGUUAGAAGAAGUAAAUUUUGCUAGUUCAUCUGUAGAGCAUGUUGUAAUCUACAAUAGGUGUAAAGAUUUUAAUAUUAAUGCUUGCAAUGAACAUGUCUCUACCAUUCUUAAUUUAAAUAAUGAUGUCGCAAGUCUUAAUGCUUAACUUAAGACUUGCAAGGAUAAUUAUGAAAAAUUAAAAUUUGCUAGGGAUGCCUACACCAUUGGUAGACAUCCCUUUAUUAAGGAUGGACUUUGUUUCCAAAAGGGAACCAAGAACUUAACAAGCCAAAGGGCUCCUGUUGGUCACUUGUUCUCAAAUGCUAAGAGUUAAGAACAAGGCAACACAAAAUGUUAACGGUUAAAGACCUUCGUCCUUCGAAGCAUUAUCUCCUUUAGGAUAUAAUGAUCUUUAGACGAAGGUUAUGAAGGACGUACCUUCAUAAUCUCAAUAUAUAAUAAUGAAAGUAUAAGUAUAUGAAAUAUGGAAAACAACAUGAAUAAUCAUAUGACAUUAUCAGAACAUUUUUAUUAUCUCCUCAUGAAUAAACAUGAACAAUAUCGAGUUACAUUUGUACCUUCGGCUUGACAGAAGGCGAAAAUCCAAGUGUGACGUGCGAGUGAAUACAAGUCAGCGUGAACAGUACAAUGUUAUUGUUCAUCUAUUUAUAGGCACAUGACGCAGCCUGUGUAAAAUUACAUCCAUGCCCUUUAUGUUUACUAUUGACUUAAGGACAAUCUACUGAGGACUAGAUAGCCUUUUCCUCUUUAAGUCGGUUUCAUUUUCUGCCGCUGAGCCGAAGCAUUUCUACGCGUAGCUUCGGAGCUGGUUCAACCUUCUUCCAGACCAUGCUUUUCAUAUGGUAUACAACUUCAUUCCGAGGCCGAAGGUCCCUGUAAAUGUAUUAUACUUAGAAAACAUGUUAAUUGUGUUUUUGAGGACCUUCGGAAGACGAAGGCCCCCAACAGUAGCCCCUAACAGUAUUAAUUUGUUUAAUCAAUAAAUUCAAACUGCGACGUGAACGAAGGCCUUAAGCCGAAGGUCCGAAAAACACCUUCCCUUCGCUAGAAUAGCGAAAGUCAAUGACAAACGGGGCCCGCCAAGUUGCAAAGCACUAGGCGUAUAAAUAGGAACCCACAUCGGCAACAUUUGAUGCGCCAUUUCUGCUGUUUGCGUUGUUUUCUCAAAUUUUUAGCUCUUGCUCAUCAACUCUUGUUUAAUUUUCGAGCUUCGGUUUAAAGACGUGCUUGCUCCAUGUCUGAGGAGAAGACGAUGACCAAGGAAAAGAUGACUGAGGAGAAGAAGCUCACUGAGGGGAAGAAGCUAUACGAAGAGAAGAAAGUUGCGGACCCUUUCAUUGCUGGGUUUUAUGAGUCUAUGGCAAAGACGAAUACAGAGAAAAUCACUAAAGAGAUAAUGGAGGGUUUGUCUGAAGAUUCUGAUGACAGCAAUAGUUAUGAUGUAGAGAGUGGAGAUGAAGAUUCUGAGGACCGGCCCUGGAGGCCAAGCCAUACUAUCUUCGGAAAAUCGACCAUCAAACAAAGUCAUAUUGACGCCAUGAGGGGGAGAUAUUUUCGCGACGUGUCUAUUGUCAGGGUUGGAGGAGACAACACUGCCCCUACUCCUGAGGAAAAUGAAGUUGUUAUUUACCGAAGCUUCCUGAAGGCAGGCCUUCGGUUCCCACUGAGCAAAUUUGUGGUUGAGGUAUUGAAGAUAUUCCAGAUCUUUCUUCAUCAGAUUACCCCCGAAGCUAUAAUUAGGAUGGGGAUAUUUGUCUGGGCUGUAAGAAGCCAGGGGCUGGAGCCGAGCGCAAAGUGCUUCUGCAAUACACACGAGCUUUUAUACGAGACAAAGGCUACCGACAAAGAACAAUACCACAACAACUUCGGUUGUUACGGGUUCAUUGCCCGCUCUAAUGCAAGUUACCCGGUGCCGACGUAUCGGGAAAGGUGGCCCGGGGCCUAGAUGGAGGAGUGGUUUUAUGUUAAAAAUGAUCUGAUAAAAGGGAAGACAUCAAGGAAAUUGUUGGGGACUUGUUCUCAAAUGCUAUGAGUCAAGAACAAGUCAACACAAAAUGUUAAUGAUUAAAGACCUUCGUCCUCCGAAGCAUUAUCUCCCUUAGGAUAUAAUGAUCUUCAGACGAAGGUCAUGAAGGACAUACCUUCAUCAUCGCAGUAUAUAUUAAUGAAAGAAGAAGCAUAUGAAACAUGAGAGACAACAUGAAUAAUUAUACAACAUAUUUUAUAUAUCUUUAUUAAAUUAUCAUAAAUGAAUAUGAACAAUAUUGAAUUACAUUUGUACCUUCGGCUUGACAGAAGGCAAAAGUCCAAGCGUGACGCACGAAUGAAUACAAGUCAACGUGAACAGUACGGGGGUACUGUUCAUCUAUUUAUAGGCACAGAGCGCAGCCUGUGUAAAAUUACAUUCAUGCCAUUUGUGUUUAUUAUUGACGUAAGGACAAUCUAACGAGGACUAGAUAGCCUUUUCCCCUUUAAGUCGGUUCCUUUUCCUGCCGCUGAGCCGAAGCUACCUUGCGCGUAGCUUCGGAGCUGCGUCAUCCUUCGUCUCGACCAUGCUUUUCAUAUUGUGUACAUUUUCAUUCCGAGUCCGAAGGUACCUGUACAUAUAUUACACUUGGGAAACAUUGUUAAAUCAUGUUUUUGAGGACCUUCGGAAGACGAAGGCCCCCAACAGUAGCCCCUCGCAGUAUUAAUUUGUUAUAACAACGAAUUUAGAUUGCGACAUGAACGAAGGCCUUAAGCCGAAGGAAAAAACACCUUCCCUUUGCUAGAAUAGCAAUAGUCAAUGACAGAUGGGGUCCACCAAGUUGCAAAGCACUGGGCGUAUAAAUAUGAACCCACAUCGGCAACAUUUGAUACGCCAUUUCUACCAUUUGCAUUAUUUUCUCAAACUUUUUAGCUCUUGCUCACUAGCUCUCGCCUGAUUUUCAAGCUUUGGUUUUAAAGACGUGUUUUCACCAUGUCUGGGGAACAGAUGACUGAGGAAAAGAAGAUGACUGCAGAGAUGAAGCUAACUGAGGAGACGAAGUUGUUUGAAGAAAAGAAAGUUGCGGAUCCUUUUAUCGCCGGGUUUAUUGAGUCUAUGUCAAAAACAAACACAGAGAAAAUUACUAAAGAGAUACUGGAAGGUUUGUCUGAAGAUACUGAUGAUAGUGAUAGUUAUGAUGUGGAAAGUGGGGAUGAAGAUUCUGAAGAUCGGCCCUGGCGACCAAGCCAUGCUGUCUUCGGAAAAUCGACUAUUAAACAGAGUCAUUUUGACAAUAUGAGAGGAAGGUACUUUCGUGACAUGUCUAUCGUGAGAGCUGGCGGAGACAACAUCGUCCCUGCCCUGAGGAAAAUGAAGUUGUUAUCUACCGAAGCUUUUUUAAGGCUGGUCUUCGGUUCCCUUUGAGCAAGUUUGUGGUUGAAGUGCUGAAGAUAUACCAGACCUUCCUUCAUCAGAUCACCCCUGAAGCUAUAAUGAGGAUGGGGAUUUUUGUCUGGGAUGUAAGAAGUCAGGGGCUAGAGCCAAGCGCGAAGUGCUUCUGUAGUAUGCACGAGCUUUUAUAUGAGAUGAAGGCUACUGGCAAAGAACAGUACCACAACAACUUCGGUUGUUAUGGAUUUAUUGCUUGCCCCAACGCAAGCUACCCGGUGCCAACAUUCUGGAAGAGAUGGCCCGGAGCCUAGAUGGAGGAGUGGUUUUAUGUUAAAAAUGAUUUAAAGGCAAGGGAAGACAUCAAAGAAAUCAUCCAGCGCCCCAUCUAGUCUCGCUUCGGCCUCCAAAGGCCGAAGGUGGAAAUUGAUGACGCUGUUGAAGCAUGUCAGAGGGCUUUUAGCACUGUUUGUGCCUUUAUUGGCACAAGGGAUUUGAUUCAAGAGCAUAUAUCCUUCAGGGUAUGGCCACUUGUGGAAAGCUGGGAUAUGCCGAAGGAGACAACCACCAAUUCUAGUGAUGGUAGUCUGGUCCGACUGAAGUAUACCUUCACAUUUAGGGAGAAGUUUGAUAAGCCAAACGACGACUAGCUGAAGUGUAUUGAAGCUACUAGUGAUGAGCUACUUGAAGCUUACUCCAAGACCGAAGAUAAUGCUUUUUCCACAGCCUUCGGAGGCCGGGGGAAGAAAAUACUGAACAAGGUCUUUGAUGCGAUUGGCUUCAUGUACCCCGAUUAUCGCUUCCCGCUGCGAGGGCAAGGAAAAAAGAGGAAGGCUGCCGCUUCGGCCACUACAGUUGUGCCGAAGAGCAAAAAGGUGAAGGUUCUGACCCACCGGCCGCGUUAUAUUGAACCGGUGAGAGCACCUAGAGGGGGGGGGGUGAAUAGGUGAUCCUGUAAAAACUUAACUUAUAGCCACAAAAACUUGUUAGGGGUUAGCUCAAUAAUUGCCAAGUGGCUAAAGAGGAGAUCUUGCACAAUGCGACAAUCACAGAGAAUUCAACACAAAGGAGACACGGUGAUUUAUCCCGUGGUUCGGCCAAGUACAAAACUUGCCUACUCCACGUUGUGGCGUCCCAACGGACGAGGGUUGCAAUCAACCCCUCUCAAGCGGUCCAAAGACCCACUUGAAUACCACAGUGUUUUGCCUUGCUUAUCUUUAUCCCACUCGCGAGGAAUCUCCACAAAUUGGAGUCUCUCGCCCUUACACUUAAGAUUCACAGAGAAGCACGGAGUAAGGGAGGGAAGCAACACACACAAAUCCACAGCGAAACGCGCACACACACGGCCAAGAUUCGAGCUCAAAGACUAUCUCACAGUUUCUCACAAGAACAGAGCUCGAAUCACUUAGAAUCACGAACGGAUGCGCAAAGACUUAGUGUGGAUGAUCAAGAAUGCUCAAGAGUUGCUUGGUGUCUUCCUCCAUGCGCCUAGGGGUCCCUUUUAUAGCCCCAAGGCAGCUAGGAGCCGUUGAGAGCAAAUCUGGAAGGCCAUCUUCGCCUUCUGUCGUCGGGCGCACCGGAUAGUCCGGUGCACACCGGACCGUGUCCGGUGCCCGAUUCCUUUCCUUAAAUGGCGAAGCCGACCGUUGCAGAUGCGGGAGCCGUUGGCGCACCGGACAUGUCCGGUGCACACCGGACAGUCCGGUGCCCCCUUCCGACCGUUGGCUCGGCCACGUGUCCCGCGCUGAUCGCGCGGCCGACCGUUGGCCCUGGCCGACCGUUGGCUCACCGGACAGUCCGGUGCACACCGGACAGUCCGGUGAAUUUUAGCCGUACGCCGUCAGCAAAUUCCCGAGAGCGGCCUCUUCGGCCGAGGGAGCCUGGCGCACCGGACACUGUCCGGUGCACCACCAGACAGUCCGGUGCCCCAGACCGAAACAGCCCCUUGGCUGUACACAGCCAAGUCUUCUCUUCUCUUCUUCUUUCUGUUUCUAACACUUAGACAAAUAUAUUAGUACACAAAACCAAUGUACUAAGACUUAGAAACAUACCUUUGUUGAAGAUUUGCACUUUGUUCAUCCAUGGGCAUUGAUUCACAUUUAAGCACUUGUGUUGACACUCAAUCACCAAAAUACUUAGAAAUGGCCCAAGGGCACAUUUCCCUUUCAAUCUCCCCCUUUUUGGUGAUUUAUGCCAACACAACAUAAAGCAGAUAGAACAAGUGCAAAAUCACUUCAAAUAAAAACUCAAAUUGGUUUUGAUUCAUUUUUGGCAUAUAUGGAUCAUCCUUUGCCACCACUUGGUUUGUUUUUGCAAAUUAAACUCAAAUCUCUAUCUCUAAGUCAAACACACAUGUUGAAGCAUAAAGAGAGUCAUUCCAAAAGAGAUUGAUCAAAGAUUUCAAAAACUCCCCCUAUUUCCCAUAAUCAACACUUCUCCCCGCAAGAAGCCAACCUUUGACAAGAGAGACAAUAAGAGACAAUAAAAGAGUUUGACAAAACAAAAACUCUAUUCUACUAUUUUCAAAAUCUCUCAAGUGGUAGCUGAUCCAUUUAUCGCUUUGGCCUUUAUUUUCUCCCCCUUUGGCAUCAAGCACCAAAACAGGAUCAAUCUUGGCCUUUUAACCCCAUUGCCUCACCAAAGUCUUCAAUUAAGAGCAAAUGGCAAUAAGAUUUCAUGAGAUGAACUUGGAAUUAGUUACCCUCUCAUCGGAGUGCAGUGGAAGUCUUUCAUGGUCCAAGUCCACCUUUUCCCUUUCAAUCCUUCUUCGAGACUAAAUCAUCAAACUCAAGCACAUGGUUAGUCUCAAAGGGUCAAGUUGUAACACAUCUCCCCCUAAACAUGUGCAUCACUUUGCAACGGACUUGUAAGGUCCAGGGAGUGUUUGUACAACUUGAGCACCAUAAUAAGCAAUAAAAUGCAAAAAAGGAACAUGAUCAAAAGCAUAAAUACAUGUAUGCUACAAUUCAAUCCAGGUUCCGCGAAUCUAAGACAUUUAGCUCACUACGCAACCUGCAAAAGGUCUUCUCAUCUAGAGGCUUAGUGAAGAUAUCGGCUAGCUGGUUCUCGGUGCUAACAUGAAACACUUCGAUAUCUCCCUUUUGCUGGUGGUCUCUCAAAAAGUGAUGCCGGAUGUCUAUGUGCUUUGUGCGGCUGUGUUCAACAGGAUUUUCCGCCAUGCGGAUAGCACUCUCAUUAUCACAUAGGAGUGGGACUUUGCUCAGAUUGUAGCCAAAGUCCCGGAGGGUUUGCCUCAUCCAAAGUAGUUGCGCGCAACACUGUCCUGCGGCAACAUACUCGGCCUCAGCGGUGGAUAGGGCAACGGAGGUUUGUUUCUUAGAGUUCCACGACACCAGGGACCUUCCUAAGAAUUGGCACGUCCCUGAUGUACUCUUCCUAUCGACCUUACAUCCAGCAUAGUCGGAAUCUGAGUAUCCAACUAAGUCAAAGGUAGACCCCUUUGGAUACCAGAGCCCGAAGCAAGGCGUAGCAACUAAAUAUCUAAGAAUUCGCUUUACCGCCACUAAGUGACACUCCUUAGGAUCGGAUUGAAAUCUAGCACACAUGCAUACGCUAAGCAUAAUAUCCGGUCUACUAGCACAUAAGUAAAGCAAAGAACCUAUCAUUGACCGGUAUGCUUUUUGAUCAACGGACUUACCUCCUUUGUUGAGGUCGGUGUGUCCGUCGGUCCCCAUCGGAGUCUUUGCGGGCUUGGCGUCCUUCAUCCCAAACCGCUUUAGCAGAUCUUGCGUGUACUUUGUUUGGGAGAUGAAGGUGCCGUCCUUGAGUUGCUUCACUUGGAACCCAAGGAAGUAGUUCAACUCGCCCAUCAUCGACAUCUCGAAUUUCUGCGUCAUCACCCUGCUAAACUCUUCACAAGACUUUUGGUUAGUAGAACCAAAUAUUAUGUCAUCGACAUAAAUUUGGCACACAAACAAAUCACCAUCACAUGUCUUAGUGAAAAGAGUUGGAUCGGCUUUCCCAACCUUGAAAGCAUUAGCAAUUAAAAAGUCUCUAAGGCAUUCAUACCAUGCUCUUGGGGCUUGCUUAAGUCCAUAGAGCGCCUUAGAGAGCUUACACACGUGGUCGGGGUACCGUUCAUCCUCGAAGCCAGGGGGUUGCUCCACGUACACCUCCUCCUUGAUUGGCCCGUUGAGGAAAGCGCUCUUCACAUCCAUUUGGUACAACCUGAAAGAAUGGUGAGCGGCAUAUGCUAGCAAGAUACGAAUGGACUCUAGCCUAGCCACAGGAGCGAAAGUCUCCUCAAAGUCCAAACCUGCGACUUGGGCAUAACCUUUUGCCACAAGUCGAGCCUUGUUCCUCGUCACCACCCCGUGCUCGUCCUGUUUGUUGCGGAACACCCACUUGGUUCCCACAACAUUUUGCUUCGGACGAGGCACCAGUGUCCAAACUUCAUUGCGCUUGAAAUUGUUGAGUUCCUCUUGCAUGGCCAACACCCAGUCUGGAUCUAGCAAGGCCUCCUCUACCCUGAAAGGCUCAAUAGAAGAGACAAAGGAGUAAUGCUCACAAAAAUUAGCUAAUCGAGAUCGAGUAGUUACUCCCUUGCUAAUGUCACCCAGAAUUUGAUCGACGGGAUGAUCCCUUUGAAUCAUCGCUCGAACUUGGGUUGGAGGUGCCGGUUGCGCUUCUUCCUCCAUUACUUGAUCAUCUUGUGCUCCCCCUUGAUCAAGCGCCUCCACUUGAGGUACCUGUUCGUCAUCUUCGGUUGGGGGAUGCACCAUAGUUGAGGAAGAAGGUUGAUCUCGUUCAUAUUGUUCCUGUGGCCGUACUUCUCCAAUCGCCAUGGUCCGUAUAGCGGCCGUCGGAACAUCUUCUUCAUCUACAUCAUCACAAUCAACUUGCUCUCUUGGAGAGCCAUUAGUCUCAUCAAAUACAACGUCGCUAGAGACUUCAACCAAACCCGAUGAUUUGUUGAAGACUCUAUACGCCUUUGUAUUUGAGUCAUAACCUAACAAAAACCCUUCUACAGCUUUGGGAGCAAACUUAGAAUUUCUACCUUUCUUCACUAGAAUGUAGCACUUGCUCCCAAAUACACGAAAGUAAGAUACAUUGGGUUUGUUACCGGUUAGUAGCUCAUACGAAGUCUUCUUGAGGAGGCGAUGAAGGUAGACCCUGUUGAUGGCGUGGCAAGCCGUGUUCACGGCUUCCGACCAGAAACACUCGGGUGUCUUGAAUUCUCCAAGCAUUGUCCUUGCCAUAUCGAUUAGCGUCCUGUUCUUCCUCUCUACCACACCAUUUUGCUGUGGUGUGUAGGGAGCGGAGAACUCGUGCUUGAUCCCUUCCUCCUCAAGGAACUCCUCCACUUGAAGGUUCUUGAACUCGGACCCGUUGUCGCUCCUUAUCUUCUUCACUUUGAGCUCAAACUCAUUUUGAGCUCUCCUGAGGAAGCGCUUGAGGGUCCCUUGGGUUUCAGACUUAUCCUGCAAAAAGAAUACCCAAGUGAAGCGGGAAAAGUCAUCAACAAUAACUAAACCAUACUUACUCCCUCCUAUGCUCAGAUAGGCGACAGGUCCGAAGAGGUCCAUAUGCAGCAGCUCCAGGGGUCUUGAAGUGGUCAUCACGUUCUUGCUGUGAUGCGCUCCUCCCACUUGUUUACCUGCUUGACAAGCUGCACAAGGUCUAUCUUUUUCGAAAUGCACGUUAGUCAAACCUAUCACGUGUUCUCCCUUUAGAAGCUUGUGAAGGUUCUUCAUCCCCACAUGUGCUAAGCGGCGAUGCCACAGCCAGCCCAUGCUAGUCUUAGCUAUUAAGCAUGCAUCUAGACCGGCCUCUUCUUUUGCAAAAUCAACUAAAUAAAGUUUGCCGUCUAAUACACCCUUAAAAGCUAGUGAACCAUCACUUCUUCUAAAGACAGACACAUCUACAUUUGUAAAUAGACAGUUAUACCCCAUAUGACAUAAUUGACUAACAGAUAGCAAAUUAUAUCCAAGACUCUCUACUAAAAAUACAUUAGAGAUAGAAUGCUCAUUAGAAAUUGCAAUCUUACCUAACCCUUUUACCUUGCCUUGAUUCCCAUCACCGAAUAUAAUUGAAUCCUGGGAAUCCUUAUUCUUGACGUAGGAAGUGAACAUCUUCUUCUCCCCCGUCAUAUGGUUUGUGCAUCCGCUGUCGAUAAUCCAGCUUGAUCCCCCGGAUGCAUAAACCUGCAAGGCAAAUUUAGGCUUGGGACUUAGGUACCCAACUCUUGUUGGGUCCUACAAGGUUAGUGCAAAUUUCCUUAGGGACCCAAAUGCAAGUUUUGUCUCCCUUGCAUUUUGCCCCUAACUUCCUAGCAAUUACCUUCUCACCCUUUCUACAAAUAGCAAAGGGAGCAUUGCAAGCAUAAUAAAUGGUGGAAGGUUUGUUCACAACUUUUCUAGGAACAUGAGCAAAAUUUCUCCUAGGCAUAUGCACAUCAUUUCUCCUACACAUAUCUCUAUCAUGCUUAUAGGAAGAACUAGAAGCAAACAUGGCAUGAGAAUCAUAAACAUGUGAAUCAAAAUCAUUAUAAGCAUUUCUAGCAUGUCUCCUAUCAUGGUAUAAGAAAGCAUGGUUCCUUUUAGCACUACUAGCCAUAGGGGCCUUCCCUUUCUCCUUGACGAAGAUGGGAGCCUUAUGGCUUGUUAAGCUCUUAGCCUCUCUCUUGAAGCCAAGACCAUCCUUAAUUGAGGGGUGUCUACCCACCGUGUAGGCAUCCCUUGCAAAUUUUAUUUUAUCAACUUCACUCUUGCUAGUCUUAAGUUGAGCAUUAAGACUAGCCACUUCAUCAUUUAGUUUUGAAAUUGAAACUAAGUGUUCACUACAAGCAUUAACAUCAAAAUCCUUACACCUAGUGCAAAUUGUAAUAUUUUCAACACACGAGUUACUUGCUACUUCUAGUUUAGCAGUUAAAACAUUAAUUUCACCUUUUAAAGAAGAAAUGGUUUCAUUACAAGUAGAAAGUUCACAAGAAAGUAUCCCAUUUCUUUUAACUUCUAGAGCAAGUGAAUUUUGUGCACUAACAAAUUUAUCAUGUUCUUCAUAUAGAAGGUCUUCUUGUUUCUCUAAGAUUCUAUCCUUUUCAUUUAAGGCAUCAAUCAACUCAUUAAUCUUAGCUAUCUUAGUUCUAUCCAAUCCCUUGAAUAAACUAGAGUAAUCAAUUUCAUCCUCACUAGAUUCAUCAUCACUAGAAGAAUCAUAAGUAUCAGUAUUACGAGUGAUUACCUUCUUUUCCCUUGCCAUAAGGCAAGUGUGAUGCUCGUUGGGGAAGAGAGCCGAUUUGUUGAAGGCAGUGGCGGCGAGUCCUUCGUCGUCGGAGUCGGACGAAGAGCAAUCCGAAUCCCACUCCUUUCCAAGGUGUGCUUCGCCUUUGGCCUUCUUGUAAACCUUCUUGUUCUCUCUCUUCCCAUUUUUCCCUUGCUCCUGGUCACUAUCAUUUUCGGGACAGUUAGCAAUAAAAUGACCAAGCUUACCGCAUUUGAAGCAUGAUCGCUUUCCCUUGGUCUUGGCCUUGCUUGGCUGUCCCUUUCGACCUUUUAGCGCCGUCUUGAAUCUCUUGAUGAUGAGAGCCAUCUCUUCAUCAUUGAGCCCGGCCGCCUCAACUUGCGCCACCUUGCUAGGUAGCGACUCCUUGCUCCUCGUUGCCUUUAGAGCAAUGGGUUGAGGCUCGUGGAGUGGACCGUUCAACGCGUCGUCGACGUAUCUUGCCUCCUUGAUCACCAUCCGCCCGCUCACGAAUUUUCCAAGUACUUCCUCGGGCGUCAUCAUCGUGUACCUGGGAUUCUCACGAAUAUUGUUCACGAGAUGAGGAUCAAGAACGGUAAAGGACCUGAGCAUUAGGCGGACGACGUCGUGAUCCGUCCAACGCGUGCUUCCGUAGCUCCUUAUUUUGUUGAUAAGGGUCUUGAGCCGGUUGUAAGUUUGAGUUGGCUCCUCUCCCCUUAUCAUGGCGAAUCGUCCAAGCUCGCCCUCCACCAACUCCAUCUUGGUGAGCAUGGUGAUGUCGUUCCCCUCGUGAGAGAUCUUGAGGGUGUCCCAUAUCUGCUUGGCAUUGUCCAAGCCGCUCACCUUAUUGUACUCUUCCCUGCACAAAGAUGCUAGGAGAACAGUAGUAGCUUGUGCAUUUCUAUGAAUUUGUUCAUUUAUAAGCAUAGGGCUAUCUGAGCUAUCAAAUUUCAUUCCAUUCUCCACAAUCUCCCAUAUGCUUGGAUGGAGAGAGAAUAAGUGACUACGCAUUUUGUGACUCCAAAAUCCGUAGUCCUCCCCAUCGAAGUGUGGAGGUUUGCCAAGAGGAAUGGAAAGCAAAUGCGAAUUCGAACUAUGUUGAAUACGAGAAUAAUCAAAUGAAAAGUUCGAAUUGACCGUCUUUUUGUAGUCGUUGUCAUCAUCCUUUUGGGAAGAAGUAGACUCAUCACUAUCGUCGUAGUAGAUGAUCUCCUUGAUGCGCCUUGUCUUCUUCUUCUUCCCUUCCUUCCGUCUAUGCCCCGAGCCAGAGUCGGUAGGCUUGUCGUCCUUCGGCUCGUUGACGAAGGAUUCCUUCUCUUUGUCGUUGAUCACGAUUCCCUUCCCCUUAGGAUCCAUCUCUUCGGGCGGUAAGUCCCUUUGUGAAGAGAACGACUCUGAUACCAAUUGAGAGCACCUAGAGGGGGGGGUGAAUAGGUGAUCCUGUAAAAACUUAACUUAUAGCCACAAAAACUUGUUAGGGGUUAGCUCAAUAAUUGCCAAGUGGCUAAAGAGGAGAUCUUGCACAACGCGACAAUCACAGAGAAUUCAACACAGAGGAGACACGGUGAUUUAUCCCGUGGUUCGGCCAAGUACAAAACUUGCCUACUCCACGUUGUGGCGUCCCAACGGACGAGGGUUGCAAUCAACCCCUCUCAAGCGGUCCAAAGACCCACUUGAAUACCACAGUGUUUUGCCUUGCUUAUCUUUAUCCCACUCGCGAGGAAUCUCCACAAAUUGGAGUCUCUCGCCCUUACACUUAAGAUUCACAGAGAAGCACGGAGUAAGGGAGGGAAGCAACACACACAAAUCCACAGCGAAACGCGCACACACACGGCCAAGAUUCGAGCUCAAAGACUAUCUCACAGUUUCUCACAAGAACAGAGCUCGAAUCACUUAGAAUCACGAACGGAUGCGCAAAGACUUAGUGUGGAUGAUCAAGAAUGCUCAAGAGUUGCUUGGUGUCUUCCUCCAUGCGCCUAGGGGUCCCUUUUAUAGCCCCAAGGCAGCUAGGAGCCGUUGAGAGCAAAUCUGGAAGGCCAUCUUUGCCUUCUGUCGUCGGGCGCACCGGACAGUCCGGUGCACACCGGACCGUGUCCGGUGCCCGAUUCCUUUCCUUAAAUGGCGAAGCCGACCGUUGCAGAUGCGGGAGCCGUUGGCGCACCGGACAUGUCCGGUGCACACCGGACAGUCCGGUGCCCCCUUCCGACCGUUGGCUCGGCCACGUGUCCCGCGCUGAUCGCGCGGCCGACCGUUGGCCCUGGCCGACCGUUGGCUCACCGGACAGUCCGGUGCACACCGGACAGUCCGGUGAAUUUUAGCCGUACGCCGUCAGCAAAUUCCCGAGAGCGGCCUCUUCGGCCGAGGGAGCCUGGCGCACCGGACACUGUCCGGUGCACCACCGGACAGUCCGGUGCCCCAGACCGAAACAGCCCCUUGGCUGUACACAGCCAAGUCUUCUCUUCUCUUCUUCUUUCUGUUUCUAACACUUAGACAAAUAUAUUAGUACACAAAACCAAUGUACUAAGACUUAGAAACAUACCUUUGUUGAAGAUUUGCACUUUGUUCAUCCAUGGGCAUUGAUUCACAUUUAAGCACUUGUGUUGACACUCAAUCACCAAAAUACUUAGAAAUGGCCCAAGGGCACAUUUCCCUUUCAACCGGCCGUGGUGCCUGAAUUUGCCGAAGGAGCCUCUUCAACUGCUGAAGCAAGACGAGCUGCUUCAAUUGCAUAGAGCGUUGAAGAGCCAACUGUAGUGCCGAAGAUGCCUACAGUCGGGCCAGCCGAAUCUAAAGAUGAUAAGGCCGAAGAGCCACAAGUGAAAAAGUGAUAAAAAUGCCAGAAAUCCUGAGCUCUCCAACAGAGGUAAAACUGCCUAAGGUGCAAAAGGCUUCUGCCGUGACUCCCAAGAGAAGGAGGAUGGCCAACGUGCUGGAUGCUGUGCUAGAGACUACAAAGGCCUUGAGCCCUGCUCCUACAAAGAAAAUUGCUAAAGCUGCCAAAGCGCAAGCCGAAGCCGAAACUGGGCAAGCAGAAGCCGAAGCUACGAAAACUCAGGCUGAAGCCGAAGCUGGGCCUUCAGCGCUCGUCGCGGCGAAGCCUGCCGCGCCUCAGGAAAAAACGGCAGAGCAAAUUGGACCUGAAAAGAUUGAGACUCCUGCUCCCGAAGCUCCGAUCGAAAAUGUUGACUACAUCAUUCGACACGCUUCAGGGAAGAAAUUGUCCGAAGAAGAAAUACUGGAAGCCAGACACUAUGCGUGAAAGUUGAAAUAUCCGAAGGGAGCUUUAGUGUUUAACGGCACUAACGAUGAUGGCUUCUUAUAUUGUCUCCCGGACAACAAAGAAAUAUCCGUUUGCCGGGAGAUAGGUAAGAGCAUGGGAUUUCCAAAGCUGGAAGAUGGCCUUUCGAUUUUGUCGAAGGAUGAUCUUGCUGACAGCCUAGCAUACAACAGGAUAAAGGUAUAGAAGUUAACUUUGAAUUUGAGAAUGAAGUAUUUUAUUUGUCAUGCUCAAUUCUUUCCUCCUCUUUGCAGAGCUUAAUUCUUAGUAAUGCCCUUAGGGCGCAGAAGAAUAUUGAAGACGAAAGCUAUACAAUGGCUCUUAAUAACCUUCGUUUAGAGGUGAUUGAAUUGAGAAAUGAAGGUCUGGAAAAGGACAAAAUCUUAAUUUCAUUGGUGACAAAGUAAAGGAAGACGAAGCUAAUUUCAAAGCUCAGGCUGAAGCCCAGAAAACUGAAAUUGAAGACCUUCAGAGACAACUGGCCGAAGCUAAGGAAAACUGCGCACUCGCACAGGUUAAUCAAGAAAUCAACGAAUAUUGGAAAAAUUAUCUAGAGAAAAAUCUUAAGGAACUUCGUGAAUCCAAGGAAUGGUGCUUCGAGAAAUCCUUGGAUUGCGUGAGAAAAUUAAAAACUAGCAUCGCCAAAGUGGGUGCCUACUCUGCUGAAGAAAACUUCAUACGAGGCGACCCCGAAGGCGUUAUUGAAUGGAUAAGUGGAGAAGCCGAAGCCUUCAAAGAAAUUUUGAGUGAUCGCGAUGAUGUUUGUGCGUUUUUCGGUGCGCGGGGGAUUUCAGCCAUCUUGGAGAAGGCCGGGUGUGAUCACGUGAAGACCAUGGCCCAGGCCGAAGCUGUCUUCUCCGUAGAUGAUACAAAGGAUCCUUCAGCCGAAGCAACUUUAAUAGGCGGAAAAUUUUAUAACGAUGUCUGGGUGAACGGUGGCCGGGAGCUAGCCCACGAAAUUAUUAAAAAGAGCAAAAAAGACACCCACAACGCCAGAGCAGAAGCAAAGCAAGCUGAAGAAGCUACAGAACGCGAAAUGCGUAUAGGUAUUAUUUUUUGGCUUUUUAGCUUCGGUACUUGUUUUGUGGCUUCAAACUAAUCAAUUUUUCCUACUUCAGCUGAACUACCUCCGCCGCCAGAACCGUACGAUCCCCUAGCUGAUCUAGAAAUGAAGGAAGCGCUGGACAUCAUAAACAUAACUGAAACCAUUAUCGACGAAGUCGUCAACAAAUUACUGAACGAAGUUGCAGAGAAAGUCCUUAAAGAGGAAUAAGUUUUAUUGUAAUGAUAGCUGGAAUGUAUGGAACAAUUUAAGUAAGAUUAAGUUUCUAUUGUAACAAAACUAUGUGACAUUUAAUGUAUGUAACAUUGAGUGGAAUAUGUAAAUUAUUGUAAUUUAAUUUCUUUGCGAUGCAUGAAAUAUGUACACAUACUGUUUUUGAGCUUUCGGCGAAAAAACACCUUCCCUUCUUUUUAUGCUUUGUAAAGAAAGAGAUCCCUUCUUAUGAUAAGGCUGUCAAAACUGUAUUUCCCGAAGCUCACUUCGUGCCUUAGCACAUUUUCAAUUUGACGAAGCAUUUGACGAAGGUCGGCUUCGUAUUCGAUUCUUGUGCCGUUAAUGCAAUAUGAUGUAUGAUGUAAUGUUGUGCAAAAUGAUGUGAUGGUAAGAUGCAAAAUGAUGAGGAUGCCGAAGCCACACACCCACUCGCCCACACUAGAACACACAAGCUCUGCAUCCCCUUAGGAACGACUUUUGAGCUUCUUCACCUUCUAUUUCGGUGAUAUAAGUUCUGCAUCCCCUUAGGAACGUCUUUUGAACUUCUUCGCCUUCUAUUUCGGCGGUAUAAGUUCUGCAUUCCCUUAGGAACGACUUUUGAACUUCUUCACCUUAUAUUUCUGUGGUAUUUGGCUCUGCAUUCCCUUUGGAACGACUUUUGAGCAGAAAACUUACGCUGAGCUCCCUUAGGAACGACUUUUGUAGUUUCGGCAAUUUGGGCUCUGCAUUCCCUUAGGAACGACUUUUAAGCACAAAACUUACGUUGCGCUCCCUUAGGAACGACUUUUUGUAGCUUCGGCAAUUUGGGCUCUGCAUUCCCUUAGGAAUGACUUUUGAGCACAAAACUUACGCUGCGCUCCCUCAGGAACGACUUUUUAUAGCUUCGGCAAUUUGGGCUCUGCAUUCCCUUAGGAACGACUUUUUAGCUUCGUAAAUCUGUGAAGAAGAUAUAUUUCAUUCUGAUAGAAGCAAAAUCAUUACAACAAAUUAAAACUAAGUUUUCAUUGUUUGUUCUUUAUUCAAAAAGCGAAAUAGCCUAGAAAAUAAAAGUAUUUGAGAAGCAGGAUAUUGCUCAGUAUAUGUGCUUUGAUUCUGGCACAGUACUAUUGACUGUAUGAGCUUUGGACUCCUCCCUGAAGGCACGUUGUUGUUGGGAGUGUUGGCACCCUUCUGGCUGUUGGCUUCGGGAAUAAGUAGGUUGCAGUGGUGGUGGUAGUGGGAGCUGAGGCCAAGAAGCUUGUGAAUGGCUUACCGAAGCAACAGAAGCUGCAGGUUGGUUGCCCACAUAUUCUGGUAUGUAAGGAGAGUGGCACGAAGCAGUAUGUAAAACCUGCUUCAGCAAUCUCUUUUUGCUUCAGAAUAGUGAUCUGGCACGUUCUUGUAGUAUGACCCUUGUCGUCACCACAGAAUAAGCAAUAGAUUUUCCUGGGCUAAUCACAAUAUCUUCCUCCGAAGCCCCUACCGCCUCUGCCCCUUGGAGAUGAUGGCCUGAAGGAGCUUUGCUGCUGUCCCGAAGAUUGUGAGGUGUGCUGUGGCCUCUGAAACUGGAUUCCUUUGUCAUCAUUCUGACUGGAGCUAUGGAUUGAUCUGACAUGCCUAGGAUGGAUUCUCCCUCCAAAACCCCUAGUCAUCUCAGAAAAUCUAUAAGCUUCCUCCCUUCUUUGUCGGAAGUCGUUAUCAGCUCGGAUGUACUCAUCCAUUUUCUGAAGCAGCUUCCCUAGAGUCUGGGGGGGUUCCUGGCGAAGUAUUGGGCUGUAGGUCCUGGCCGAAGACCCUUGAUCAUGGCCUCAAUGACGAUUUCAUUGGGCACUGUAGGCGCUUGUGCUCUAUCGCAAGAACCUUCGGACAUACGCCUGGAGGUAUUCCUCAUGGUCUUGUGUGCACUGGAACAAGGCCUGAGCUAUGACUGGCUUCGUCUAAAAGCCUUGAAAACUGGUAACCAGCAUGUCCUUGAGCUUCUGCCAUGACGUGAUUGUCCCUGGCCGGAGAGAAGAGUACCAUGUCUGGGCCACAUUUCGGACUGCCAUGACAAAGGACUUUGCCAUGACAGCUGUGUUGCCUCCAUAUGAGGAUAUUGUUGCCUCAUAGCUCAUCAAGAAUUGUUUUGGGUCUGAGUGCCCAUCGUACAUGGGUAGGUGAGGUGGCUUGUAGGAUUGUGGCCAUGUGAUAGCCUGCAAUUAUGCCGCCAGAGGAGAAGCAUCAUCAAAAGUAAAGCUACCAUGAUUAAAAUCAUCGUACCAUUCUUCUUUGUUGAAUGAGCCCUCUUGACGAAGCUCUUUGUGUUGGGGCCUUUGGUCACGAUCAUCUUGAGUAAGAUGAAGCACUUUCUCAGUAGCUUCGUCGAGCUUCUUCUGAAGGUCGGCUAGCCGAGCCAUUUUCUCCUUUUUCCUUUGCACCUGCUGGUGAAUGAUUUCUAGGUCCCUGAUCUCCUGGUCCAACUCCUCCUCCUGAAGUGUUGGACUGGUGGCCUUUCUCUUUUGGCUUCUGGCCUCUUGAAGAGAGAGAGAGUCUCCUGAUUUGUGUCCAGUGGCUGCAGUGCAGCCCCUGGUGCUAUUAUCUUCUUCAGCGGCAUGACGAAGGUUGAUGCUUUACCGAAGAGUGUGGGAGUGAGUACACCGGAGGUGGGCGCCAAUGUUGGGGACUUGUUCUCAAAUGCUAUGAGUCAAGAACAAGGCAACACAAAAUGUUAAUGAUUAAAGCCCUUCGUCCUCCGAAGCAUUAUCUCCCUUAGGAUAUAAUGAUCUUCAGACGAAGGUCAUGAAGGACGAACCUUCAUCGUCGCAAUAUAUAUUAAUGAAAGAAGAAACAUAUGAAACAUGAGAGACAACAUGAAUAAUUAUACAACAUCUUUUAUAUAUCUUUAUUAAAUUAUCAUAAAUGAAUAUGAACAAUAUUGAAUUACAUUUGUACCUUCGGCUUGACAGAAGGCAAAAGUCCAAGCGUGACGCACGAAUGAAUACAAGUCAGCGUGAACAGUACGAGGGUACUGUUCAUCUAUUUAUAGGCACAGAGCGCAGCCUGUGUAAAAUUACAUUCAUGCCCUUUGUGUUUAUUAUUGACGUAAGGACAAGCUAACGAGGACUAGAUAGCCUUUUCCCCUUUAAGUCGGUUCUUUUUCCUGCCGCUGAGCCGAAGCUGCCUUGCUCGUAGCUUCAGAGCUGCGUCAUCCUUCAUCUCGACCAAGCUUUUCAUAUUGUGUACAAUUUCAUUCUGAGUCCGAAGGUACCUGUACAUAUAUUACACUUGGGAAACAUUGUUAAAUCAUGUUUUUGAGGACCUUCGGAAGACGAAGGCCCCCAAUAGAAAUUAUCCAGCGCCCCAUCUGGUCUCGCUUUGGCCUUCGAAGGCCGAAGGUGGCUAUUGAAAGUGACAUCGAAGCAUGCCAGAAGGCAUUUAGCAAUGUUUGCACCUUCAUUGGUACAAGAGAUAUAGUCCAAGAGCACAUAGCCUAUAGGGUGUGGCCACUUGUGGAGAGCUAGGAUAUGCCGAAGGAGACUACUGCUGAAUCCAGUGAAAAUGGCUUAGUUCGAUUGAAGUAUACCUUCAGAUUUAGGGAGAAGUUUUAUGAACCAAAUGAUGACUGGUUGAAAUGCAUUGAAGCUACCAGCGACGAGCUACUCGGGACAUAUUUCCAAGGCCGAAGAUGAUGCCUUGUCCGCAGCCUUCGGGGGCCGGGGGAAGAAAAGAUUGAAUAGGGUAUUCGAUGCAGUUGGCUUCGUAUACCCUGAUUAUCACUACUCGCUGCAAAGGCAAGGGAAGAAGAGAAAAACUGUUGCUUCGGCUACCACUGUUGUGCCGAAGGGCAAGAAAAUGAAGGUUCUGACCCACCGGCCAUGAUAUAUUGAACCGAGCGUAGUGCCUAAAUUUGUCAAAGGGACCUCUUCAACUGCCGAAGCAAAACAAGCUGCUUCCAUGGUGCAGAGCGUUGAAGAGUCUAUUGUAAUGCCGAAGGUGCCUACAGUCAGGCCAGCCGAAGCUAAAGAUGAUACGGUCGAAGAGCCAAAGGUGGAAGAAACAGUAAAAAUGCUAGAAAUUCUGAGCCCACCGGUAGAGGCAAAUUCGUCGAAGAUGCAAAAAGGUCCUACCACAACUCCCAAGAGGAGGAGGAUGGCCAGCGUGCUAGAUGCUGUUAUGGAGACCACAAAGGCCUUGACCCCUGCUCCUAUUAAGAAAGUUGCCGAAGUUGCUAAGGUCCAGGCCGAAGCCGAAGCUGGGCCUGCAGUGCUCAUUGAGACGAAGGCUGUCGCGCCUGACGACAAAGGUGAUCAACAAACUUCAGAUACCGACAUGGCAGCAGGGCAAGGUAUGGCAGAAAAAGCAAAGUCCCCUACCCCCGAAGCUUCAGUCGAAGAUAUUGAUUACAUUUUUCGACAUGCUUCGGGGAAAAAAUUAUCCGAAGAAGAAAUCAUGGGAGCCCGACACUAUGCCCAAAAACUAAAAUAUCCGAAAGGGGCCUUAGUGUUUAAUGGCACUAACGAAGAUGAUUUCCUCUAUCUCCCAGACAACAAAGAAAUAUCUGUUUGCCGGGAGAUAGCUAAAAGUAUGGGAUUUCGAAGCUUGAGGAAGGGCUUUCGGUUAUGUCGAAGGAUGAUCUUGCUGAUAGCCUCGCGUACAACAGUAUAAAGGUAUAGAAGUUAACUUUGAAGUUGGAAACAAAGUAUUUUAUUGUCAUGCUUAAUUCUUUCUUCUUCUUUGCAGGGCUUGAUUCUUAGUAAUGCCUUGAGGACACAAAAGAGCGCCGAAGACGAAGGCUGUACAAUAGCUCUCAGCAACCUUCUCUUAGAGGUGAUUGAACAGAGAAAUGAAGGUCUAGAGAAAGACAAAAUUUUGAUUUUAUUGCUGAGUAAAAUAAAAGAAGACAAAGCUAAGUACAAUGCUCAGGCCGAAGCCCAAAAAGCCAAGGUUGAAGACCUUCGGAGACAGCUAACCGAAGCUAAUGAGAAAUGCGCGCUCGCACAGGCUAACCAAGAGAUUAGUGAAUAUUGGAAGAAUAAGCUAGAGAAAAAUGUUGAAGAACUUCGCGAAUCUAAGGAAAAGUGUUUUGAAAAAUCUUUGGAUUGUGUGAAGAAAUUAGAAACUAGCUUCUCCAAAGUGGUGCCUACUCUUCUGAAGAAAAUUUUAUCCGAGGCGACCUCGAGGGCGUUAUUGAAUGGAUAGGUGGAGAAGCCGAAGCUUUUGAGGAAAUCUUGAAUGAUCGUGGGGGGGUAUUUGUGCUUUUUCCGACACUCGGGGAAUCACAGCUAUUCUGGAGAAGGCCGGAUGUGAUCACGUUAAGGCUAUAGCCUAGGCCGAAGCUGCCUUCUCCAUAGACGACACGAAUGAUCCUUCAGCUGAAGCACCUUUAGUGGACGGGAAAUUUUAUUCUGAUGGCUGGGUGAAUGGUGGCCGAGAGCUGGGCAACGGAAUUAUAAAAAAGAAUGAAAAAGACACCCACGACGCCCAGGAAGAAGCAAAGCGAGCUGAAGAGGCUGCUGAAUGUGAAAAGCGCAUAGGUAUUGUUUUUGAUUUUUUGGCUUUAGUACUUGCUUUGUGGCUUCGAACUAACAGUUUACCUACUACAUCUGAACUAUCCCCGCCACCGGAGCCGUACAAUCCCCUAGCUGAUCCAGAGAUGAAGGAAGCACUGUAUAUUAUAAGCAUGGCGAACUCCAUUAUCGACGAAGUCGUCGAUAAACUAUUGAAUGAAGUCGCAGAGAAAGUCCUUAGAGAAGAAUAUAUUUUAUUGUAAUAAUAUUUUGAAAUGCUUGAUGUAUGGAACAAUUGAAGGAAGAUUAGGUGUCUAUUGUAACAAAACUAUGUAACAUUUGAUGUAUGUAACAUUGAAUCGAAUAUGUAAACUGUUGUAAUUUAUUUCUUUGCGAUGUAUGAAACAUACACACAUACCGCUUUUUGAGCCUUCGGCAAAAAACACCUUCCCUACUUUUCAUGCUUUGCAAAGAAGAAAGCCCCUUCUAGGGCAGAUCUGAUAGAAUUGUCACCCGAAGUUUGCUGCGUGCCUUAGCACAUUUUCAUUCAAUCGAAGUAUUUCCAAAGAUUUGCUUCGUAUUCAAUCUUUCUGUUGAUGCGAUAUGAUGUAUGAUGUGAUACUAUGCUAAAUGAUGCGAUGAUAUGAUGCAAUAUGACGAUGCUUUAACACCCACACAUACGCACACACUGGUACACGGAAGACUCUGCAUCCCCUUAGGAACGUCUUUUGAGUCUAAGCUCUACAUCCCCUUAGGAAUGACUUUUGAGAUUCUUCACCUUCUAUUUCGGUGGUAUAAGUUCUGCAUCCCCUCAGGAAUGACUUUUGAACUUCUUCGCCUUAUAUUUCGGUGGUAUUUGGCUCUGCAUUCCCUUUGGAACGACUUUUGAGCAGAAAACUUACACUGCGCUCCCUUAGGAACGACUUUUUGUAGCUUCGUCAAUUUUGGCUCUGCAUUCCCUUAGGAACGACUUUUGAGCAGAAAACUUACGCUGCGCUCCCUUAGGAACGGCUUUUGUAACUUCGUCAAUUUUUGCUCUGCGUCCCUUAGGAAAGACUUUUGAGCUUCGGAAAUUUACUCCACUUUCUUAGACAUGUCUUUUGAGCUUCGAAAACCCGUGAAGAAGAUAUAUUUCACUCUGGUGCAAGCAUGAUUAUUACAAAAAUUGAAAUUAAGCUCUUCAUUAUUUGUUUCUUACACAGAAAAUAAAAUGACAUAAAAGAUAAAAGUGCUUCAAACGUAGGAUAUUCCUCAGUAUAUGUGCUUCGAAUCUGGUACAGUGUUGUUGACUGUACGAGCUUCGGACUCCUCCCUGAAGUCACGUUGCUGUUGGGGAUGCUGGCGCCCUUCUGGCUGCUGGCUUUGGGUAUGAGUAGGUGGCAAUGGUGGUGGCAGUGGGAGCUGAGGCCAGGAUGCUUGUGAAUGGCUUGCCGAAGCGACAAAAGCUGCAGGUUGAUUGCCCACAUAUUCUGGUAUGUAGGGAGAGUAGCACGAAGCAGUAUGUAAAACCCGCUUCGGCUGAUUCUGUCGGGCUUCUGCUUCGGCAAUCUCUUUCUGCUUCUAAAUGGUAGCCUGGCAUGUUCUUGUUGUGUGGCCCUUGUCUUCACCAUAGAAUAAGCAAUAGAUUUUCCUGGGCUGAUCCCCAUAUCUUCCUCCGAAGCCCCUGCCGCCUCUGCCCCUUGGAGCUGGUGGCCUGAAGGAGCUUUGCUGCUGUCCUGAAGACUGUGAGCUGUGCUGUGGCCUCUGAAACUGGCUUCCUCUAUCAUCACUUUGACUGAAGUUGUGGAUUGAUCUGACAUGCCUAGGGUGGAUUCGUCCUCUGAAGCCCCUAGUCAUCUCAGAAAACCUAUAAGCUUCUUCCCUUCUCUGGCGAAAAUCAUUAUCGCCUCGAAUGUACUCAUCCAUCUUCUGAAGUAGCUUCUCCAGGGUCUAAGGGGUUUCCUGGCAAAAUAUUGAGCUAUAGGUCUUGGCCGAAGCCCUUUGAUCAUGGCAUCAAUGAUGAUUUCAUUGGGCACUGUGAGCGCUUGUGCUCUCAGACGCACUGGAAUAAAGCUUGAGCAGUAACCGGAAUAAAGCUUGAGCAGUAACCGGCUUCGUCUGAAACCCUUGGAAACUGGUGAUCAGCAUGUCCUUCAGCUUCUGCCAUGAUGUGAUUGUUCUUGGCCGAAGAGAGGAGUACCAGGUUUGCGCAACGUUCUUGACUGCCAUGACGAAGGAUUUCGUCAUGACUGCAGUAUUGCCCCCAUAUGAAGAUAUGGUUGCUUCGUAGCUCAUCAGAAACUGCUUCGGAUCAGAGUGCUCAUCAUACAUGGGAAGCUAGGGUGGUUUGUAUGAUGGAGGCCAUGGUGUAGCCUGUAGUUCUGCUGACAAAGGAGAAGCAUCAUGAAAAGCAAAAUUUCCAUGGUGGAAAUCAUUAUACCACUCGUCAUCAUCAUAGGAAUUGUCCUGGCGAAGCUCCCUACGUUGAGGUCGUCGGUCCUGGUCAUCUUGGGUGAGAUGACGCAUCUCCUCAGCGGCCUCGUCGAUCUUCUUCUGAAGAUCAGCAAGAUGAAGCAUCUUAUCCUUCUUCCUUUAGACCUACUGAUUGAUUACUUCGAGGUCCCUAAUUUCUUGGUCCAGCUCCUCCUCCUGAGGCGUUGGACUUGUAGCCUUCCUCUUUUGAUUUCUGGCUUCAUGCAAUGUUUCGUGAUUGACGUCCAGUGGUUGCAGUGCAGCCCCUAGCCCUGAAGCUUUCUUUGGCGGCAUGAUGAAGGUCACAGCGUGCCGAAGGUGGUCAAAUGAGUUCACCGAAGGUGGGCGCCAAUGUUGGUCACUUGUUCUCAAAUGCUAAGAGUUAAGAACAUGGCAACACAAAAUGUUAACGGUUAAAUACCUUCGUCCUUCGAAGCAUUAUCUCCUUUAGGAUAUAAUGAUCUUUAGAUGAAGGUUAUGAAGGACGUACCUUCAUAAUCUCAAUAUAUAGUAAUGAAAGUAUAAGUAUAUGAAAUAUGGAAAACAACAUGAAUAAUCAUAUGACAUAAUCAGAACAUUUUUAUUAUCUCCUCAUGAAUAAACAUGAACAAUAUCGAGUUACAUUUGUACCUUCGGUUUGACAGAAGGCAAAAAUCCAAGUGUGACGUGCGAGUGAAUACAAGUCAGCGUGAACAGUACGGUGUUACUGUUCAUCUAUUUAUAGGCACAUGAUGCAGCCUAUGUAAAAUUACAUCCAUGCCCUUUAUGUUUACUAUUGACUUAACGACAAUCUACUGAGGACUAGAUAGCCUUUUCCUCUUUAAGUCGGUUUCAUUUUCCGCCGCUGAGCCGAAGCUUUUCUACGCGUAGCUUCAGAGCUGGUUCAACCUUCUUCCAGACCAUGCUUUUCAUAUGGUAUACAACUUCAUUCCGAGGCCGAAGGUCCCUGUAAAUGUAUUAUACUUGGAAAACAUGUUAAUUGUGUUUUUGAGGACCUUCGGAAGGCGAAGGCCCCCAACAGCUCCCAAUCUCAACAAAGAGAAAGGGAAGGCUCCCAUGGCUGGUAGCUCUCAAAAGAAUCAUGCCUAUCUUUAUGAUAAGAAAGUUACGAGUAAUACUCAUCAUGAUAGGCGCCAUAAUCAUGUUGUUUAUCCUAUAUGUCAUGAUGCUGCAUUUAAUUCUCACGCCAUGUUUGCAUCUAGCUCUUCAUAUGCUCAUGGUAGAAAUAGGCCUAGGCGCCAUUAUGCUGCUUCUCAUGCGCCUAGGAGAGCAUCAACUGGACCGACUAUGCUUUAUCAAACAUGUAAUGCUUCAUUUGUUCUUACAUGCAAAAAUGAUAAAGUAGUUGCUAGAAGUGUGGGACCUAAGUGCAAGAGAGACAAAACUUGCAUCUGGGUUCCAAAGUCUGUUGUGACUAACCUUGUAGGACCCAACAAGAGUUGGGUACCUAAAACCCAAGCUUAAUUACCUUGCAGGUUUAUGCAUUCGAGGGCUCAAGCUGGAUUAUUGAUAGCGGAUGCACAAACCACAUGACGGGGGAGAAUAAAAUGUUUACCUCCUACGUCAAGAAUAGGGAUUCCCAAGACACUAUCAUCUUUGGAGAUGGGAACCAAGGCAAGGUUAAGGGCCUAGGCAAAAUAUCCAUCACAACCGAGCAUUCAAUUUCAAAUGUGUUUCUAUUAAAAUCGCUCGGGUACAAUUUAUUGUCUGUAAGCCAAUUAUGUCAUAUGAGUUAUAAUUGCUUAUUUACAAAUAUUGAUGUAUCUGUCUUUAGAAGAAGUGAUGGUUCAUUAGCUUUUAAGGGUGUAUUAGAUGACAAGCUCUAUUUAGUUGUUUUCUCAAAAGAGAAUGCCGAUAUAGAUGCAUGCUUAAUCGCUAAGACUAAUAUGGGCUGGCUUUGGCAUCGCCGUCUAGCACAUGUUGGGAUGAAGAAUCUUCAUAAACUUCUAAAGGGAGAACAUGUGUUAGGACUAACCGACGUCUGUUUUGAGGAAGACAGACCUUGUGCAGCGUGCCAAGCAGGGAAGCAGGUGGGAAGUACUCAUCAAAGCAAGAACGCGAUGACAACAUCAAGACCACUGGAACUCCUACAUAUGGAUCUCUUCGGGCUCGUUGCUUAUCUCAGCAUCGGGGGAAGUAAGUAUGAUCUUGUCAUUGUUGAUGAUUUUCCCACUUCACUUGUGUGUUCUUUUUGCAGGAUAAAUCUGAAACCCAAGGAACUCUAAAGCACUUCUUAAGGAGAGCUCAAAAUGAAUUUGAGCUAAAGGUGAAAAAGAUAAGGAGCGAUAAUGGAUCUGAGUUCAAGAACCUUCAAGUCGAAGAAUAUCUUGAGGAGGAAGGCAUCAAGCACGAGUUCUCUGCUCCCUACACACCACAACAAAAUGGUGUAGUAGAAAGGAAAAACAUGAUGCUAAUUGACAUGGCAAGGACAAUGCUUGGAGAAUACGAGACGCCUGAGCGGUUUUGGUCGGAAGCUGUGAAUACAGCCUGCCAUGCCAUAAACCGGCUCUAUCUGCAUCGCCUCCUCAAGAAGACAUCCUAUGAACUCCUAACCGGUAACAAACCAAAUGUUUCCUAUUUUCGUGUAUUUGGGAGCAAAUGCUACAUCUUAGUGAAGAAAGGUAGGCAUUUGAAGUUUGCUCCCAAAGUUGUAGAAGGGUUUUUACUUGGUUAUGACUCAAAUACAAAAGCGUAUAGGGUCUUCAACAAAUCAUCGGGAUUAGUUGAAGUCUCUAGCGACGUUGUAUUUGAUGAAACUAAAGGCUCUCCAAGGGAGCAAGUUGAUCUUGAUGAUGUAGAUGAAGACGAGAUUCCGACGGCCGUAAUGCGAACAAUGACAAUAGGUGAUGUGCGACCACAGGAACAACUAGAGCAAGAUCAACCUUCUUCCUCUACAUUGGUGCAUCCCCCAACUCAAGAUGAGGAACAGGUACCUCAAGAUGAAGGGAUGGAUGAAGGGGGAGCACAUGAAGAACAGGAUAAGGAGGAAGAUGUGUUACAAGUUCCUCCAACUCAAGUUCGGUCAACAAUCGAAAGAAAUCAUCCAGUGGAUCAGAUUCUGGGUGAUAUCAGCAAGGGAGUAACCACUCGCUCACCUCUAGCUAAUUUUUGUGAGCAUUACUCGUUUGUUUCUUCUAUUGAGCCUUUCAGGAUAGAAGAAGCCUUGCAGGAUCCGGACUAGGUGUUGGCCAUGCAGGAAGAGCUCAACAACUUCAAAAGAAAUGAAGUGUGGAGCCUAGUGCCACGUCCGAAGCAAAAUGUUGUAGGAACCAAGUGGGUGUUCCGCAACAAGCAAGAUGAACACAAUGUGGUGACAAGAAACAAAGCUCGACUUGUGGCAAAAGGUUAUGCCCAAGUCAUAGGUUUGGAUUUUAAGGAGACUUUUGCUCCUGUAACUAGGCUAGAAUCAAUUCGAAUAUUAUUAGCCUAUGCUGCUCACCAUUCUUUUAAGCUGUUCCAAAUGGACGUGAAGAGCGCUGUCGGCGUUUCGAGACCGAGGGGUCCCUGGGCCGACGAGUGAAAUGUCGCCGCGUGCCCCAGCCCAGAUGGGUUGACGUGAGGCCGAGCACGAAGGGGGGAGAAAGGUGGCCGGAGACAGGCGUGAGAGAGGUGGAAAUCCCACGACCUUCGUGUUCAUCCCGUGCCCAGGUCGGGUGCACUUGCAGUAGGGGAUUACAAGCGUCCACGCAGGAGAGGGAGCGAGCGGCUUCAAGCGAGCGCCUGUCUCGUCCUCGUCCCCGCGCGGCCAACCCUCUCUAAGAGGGCCCUGGUCCUUCCUUUUAUAGGCGUAAGGAGAGGAUCCAGGUGUACAAUGGGGGGUGUAGUAGAGUGCUACGCGUCUAGCGGAGGAGAGCUAGCGCCCUAAGUACACGCCAUCGUGGCGGCCGGAGAGGUUAUGGUGCCCGGUUCGUGUGAUGUCGUGGCCGUCGGAGGAGUGCUGGAGCCUGGCGGAGGGACAGCUGUCGGAGUUGUCGAGUCCUUGCUGACGUCCUCUUGCUUUCGUAAGGGGGUUGAGAGCCGCCGUCGUCAGGGAGCGUGCGGGGAGCCAUCAUUGCCUAUCUGGCGGAGCGAGCCAGAUGGGACGCCGGUCUCGUUUCUCGUAGCCUGAGUCAGCUUGGGGUAGGGUAAUGAUGGCGCCUCCCGUUGACGUGGCUGGUAUGCGCCCUAGGUUGGGCGAUGUGGUGGCUCCUCCGAGGUCGAGGUCGAGUCUAUCUUCCGUGGCCGUGGUCGAGUCCGAGCCCCUGGGUUGGGCGAGGCGGAGACCGUCGGCUGAGGUCAGGGCUGAGUCCGAGCCCUGGGGUCGGGCGAAGCGGAGUUCGUCGUCUUCUGGGGCUGAGCCCAAGUCCGAGCCCUGGGUCGGGCGGAGCGGAGUUCGCCGUCUUCCGGGGCUUAGCCUGAGUCCGAGCCCUGGGUCGGGCGGAGCGGAGUUCGCCGUCUUCCGGGGCUUAGCCCGAGUCCGAGCCCUGGGUCGGGCGGAGCGGAGUUCGCCGUCUUCCGGGGCUUAGCCUAAGUCCGAGCCCUGGGUCGGGCGGAGCGGAGUUCGUCGUCUUCUGGGCUGAGCCCAAGUCCGAGCCCUGGGUCGGGCGGAGCGGAGUUCGUCGUCUUCCGGGGCUUAGCCCGAGUCCGAGCCCUGGGUCGGGCGGAGCGGAGCUUCCUAUGGCGCCUGAGGUCGGGCCUGACUGCCUGUCAGCCUCACUCUGUCAGAUGGCACUGCAGUCGGUGCGGCGCAGGCGACGCUGUCCUUCUGUCAGGUCGGUCAGUGGAGCGGCGAAGUGACUGCGGUCACUUCGGCUCUGUCGACUGAAGGGCACGCGUCAGGAUAAUGGUGUCAGGCCACCUUUGCAUUAAAUGCUCCUGCGAUUUGGUCAGUCGGCGCGGCAAUUUGGUCAGGGUUGCUUCUUAGCGAAGACAGGGCCUCAGGCGAGCCGGAAAUGUGUUCGCCGCUGGAGGGGGGCCUCGGGCGAGACGGAGAUUCUCCGGGGUCGGCUGCCCUUGUCCGAGCCUAGGCUCGGGCGAGGCGUGAUCGAGUCCCUCGAAUGGACCGAUCCCUGACUUAAUCGCACCCAUCAGGCCUUCGCAACUUUAUGCUGAUGGGGGUUACCAGCUGAGAAUUAGGAGCCUUGAGGGUACCCCUAAUUAUGGUCCCCGAUAGUAGCCCCCGAGCCUCGAAGGGAGUGUUAACACUCGCUUGGAGGCUUUUGUCGCACUUUUUUGCAAGGGGACCAGCCUUUCUCGGUUGCGUUUUGUUCCGGUGGGUGCGCGCGAGCGCACCCGCCGGGUGUAGCCCCCGAGGCCUCGGAGGAGUGGUUUGACUCCUCCGAGGUCUUAAUGCCUCGUGCAAUGCUUUGGCUGGUCUGGUCGUUCCCUCAUGCGAGCUGGCCGUAGCCCGGGUGCACGGUCGGGUCCCAAGUUCUCGGGCUAGUAUGUUGACGCUGUCAACGGCUUGGCCGGAGCCGGGUUUGCGAGAGCAGCCCCCGAGCCUCUGCACAGGGCGAGAGGGCGAUCAGGGACAGACUCGACUUUUUUACAUACGCCCCUGCGUCACCUUUCCGCAAGGAGGAGGGGGGGGGGGGAAAGCACCAUGUUGCCCUCGGUGGGCGCCGAACAUGGUGUCUCCGGUGAGCUGCUGGCGGGUAAUCCGAGCGGACGUCCGUGCCCCAUUUGCUAGGGGUCGGCUAGAGGCCCAGAGGCGCGCCCAAAAGUACCUGCGGGUGAUCUGCCGGACCCGGUCCCCUGUCGACGGGGUCCGAGGGCUCGAUGCCUCCCUCUGAUGGGAUUCCAUUACAAGAUCGUUCCCGCUGGUCUCGGAAAUGUCCUAGGGUACCUCAGGAGCGCAGCCCGAGCCUUGGUUAUGUAUCGAACGUACCCAUGGUCAUCCCUCGCUCUGCGUCUGAGGCGGCUGUGGACCCUUUGAGGGCUAGCCUUCGAACCCCUGAUCAGUAGUGGGCGCGGAGCCCGAGUAGCCUGAGGCGGUCGUUGAACCCUUCCGAGGGGCCGGCCUUCGAACCUCUGACCAGUAGUGGGUGUGGAGCCCACGCGCUCUGAGGCGGCUGUUGAACCCCUCCGAGGGGCCAGCCUUCGAACCUCUGAUCAGUAGGGAGGCUCGGAGCCUGGUUCCUUCAUGGGGAAGGAUCCUUUUCGGGGUAUCCCCUUUCCCGGUCCCUGUUGUAAGAGAGAGAAAGAGGAAAAGGAAAAGGAUGCAGAAUUUGAACAACGUGGCGUACCUUUUUCGACGCGGUCAUUAUGGCGAAGGCGAAGCGUCGCCCGCUUCCCCUGCCAGAGGCGCCGCCUGUCCCGCCGCGGAGUUAAUGCGACGGGGCGAGUGGUUUGCGGGGCAGCCGUUGCGCGUGCGCGGGCCGUUCGAGGAACGGAACAUGGGCGCGUCGUCUUCACGCCGUGAGAGAGGGUUCUCUCGCUGCUCCCGGAUGGGACGUAAGCUUGGCUAACGACGUGACCGCUGCUCCUGCCCGCCUGCUACCGCCAUUACUGCCGGCCCAUUUUUGGCCGCAUUGACCAUCGCGCCAGGCUGGCGCUGCUGGGUCGUGCGCUGGGUCGCCUCGAGUCGCGGUAUUGGUUCCGCAGUCGAGGAGGCGCGGUAGUGGCGCGGGCGGCGGUGCAGUUGCUCGCACGCAGCAUCCGGCGCGCCGGUUGCAUGACGCGUGGGCCUGGGCCUCCAUGCUGGGCGUGUUGGAAGUCGGAGAAGUGCCCCCACUUGGCUCGGUUGCAUGCCGCCUGCAUGGCUACCCGCCCUUUCGCCCGCUGGUCUGGGCAAAAGUGGAGGGCCGCUUGUAACCGCUGGGCGGUUGCAUGCGCCGCGCGCGGCGGUUUGGCUUCUUCUGCUCUGGGCCGGCUUACAUGACGUGUGGGACCCAGCCCCCGCGCCGUAGAGGGAGGACCUUGGAGCGUGUUGGAGAAGACUUAGCCCGCGACGGCUGGGGACGCAAGUAGGGAGAGUCGCCUUUAAAAGGAGGGUGACCCCCUUGAAAGGCGACCAUGUCUCCGCGCUCCCUUAUGCAUCGUGUCUUUCCACCUUCCGAGCCCCCGGAUGGGGGAUGCCCGCAGUCCUUCCGCCUUGUCGUUGGGGGAACGCAACUCCGUGGGAGUUGGUACCUUUCAGCCAUCGUUCGGCUUCAAGGAUUUUCAUCACGCAGCCCGGCUGCACCCCUCCGCCGGCGGUCACCCAAGGCGGUGACCUCCAGCCCCUGGAUGGGGAGAGGCAAGCCGGGCUGUGAUCUUGGUCCCGCCCUCAGCUUCAAGGAUGUUCAUCAUCCUUGCUGGGGCGGAGAGCGAGGCGAGCCGGGGCUCUACCUCCCGCGCGGGCCGGCUGGCCACCUCUUCUUCCAGCUUCUGGUGGUGGCAACCAUCCUCCAGCUCUGCGGAGGAGGCAUCCUCCAGCCAUGCCGGGGAAGGCGAACUGUUGCUGCCCAGCUAGGAUGCAACAUUCCGCCCUCUUCCUCGCUUUCGUGGCGAGGACGGGAACGAGGACCUGCCGGUGCGCUUCGGAGCGGCCCGCUCUUUGGCUUUGAUGGCUGGUUCGUGUCCCUUGAGCGGGAACGCGAACAAGAGCCUUCCGGCGACCGCGUCCAUCCUGGGACCAUGGCUGCUGCUGCAGAGGUCGCUGGCGAGUCACCCGGAACUCGUCGCCCCGCAGGCUCCCCGGAGUGGAGGUUGGUCAUACCCGCGGGGACGGAACCGGAGUUCCGUUUGCAAUGGCACUUUGAAUGCCAGUGUUUUUGUUCAUUGUGGCUGUCGAGGCCUGAACAUGUAUGUAUUUUUUCCUCAUUUUCGAGCACUAAGACUCGCCUGUUGGUUGUCUGAACCGCUUCACCAAGCGUGAGUCGCCCCGUGUAAAGGUGACGAGUGAGGUAUCCGUAUCCCGGAGGCGUAGGAGUCCCUCGGCUCGGUCAGCCUUGUUGUCCGAGGCUUCUCUUGCUUAGUUAAAGGAACCCCUCGGCUGCUCUUCGAUGAGCCGAAGCCAGGGGUAGCGGUGUCAGCAUGGACAGAGGCAGAGUUGGCUCGAAAAGAAGACUUGGUUGGCCGGAGCCUAGCCGGGUCGUCCGUUAGCGGGACCGACGCCGGAGUUGAUCUUCCGAGGCCUCGGGCCGGGCUGAUGUCUUCGGGGGACAGCUGGCCGAGGCCUCGGGGUGACCAGCCGAGCCGCCUGCUCGGGCCGGAUUCUCGGAGAAAAACCCUGGCGGCGAUGGCCCGGGCGUGGUGAUGACGUCGUCCUUCAGAGUGGAGAUCCUCGGACUGCGUUGCCGUCCGAGGCUAGGUCGGACCUUGCCGAAGGCGUUGUUGACGCCGAGGGUGCUGCGGCUCCCUUCAACUGUCCAGAUCCGAGCCUGCAGGAUCGGAUUAUCUUGUAGUGUGUGUUUUCUGCGGCCGCCGAGGCCAAAACACACCCUCGCCGUGUUGUAAAGCUGCGUCUCUUCUCCUCUUGUUUCGAGUAUCAGGACUUUUUCGUUGAUAACAGAAUUGUCUGUGUGAGCGAGAGUUGCUUCUCGCGGAAGGUGAUGAGUGAGGUAUCCGUAUCCCGGAGGCGUAGGAAUCCCUCAGCUCGAUCGGCCUUGCCGCUUACGUGCACUCUUACCCGCCCAUAGGGUUCUGUCACCGACGCAGUCGAGAAGGCUCAAAGAAUCGCUUCGGCAGAGAAGCUUUCGAACGUGAAGACUUGUUCGGUCCGCGGAAUCACUUAUCCGAACAUGAGUUACUUAUCACAGAAGGUGAUGAGUGAGGUAUCCGUAUCCCAGAGGCGUAGGAGUCCCUCGGCUCGGUCAGCCUUGGCUGCUUACGUGUACUCCGUCGUUUUCAGGAUCCACUUUCGAAGUAGUCGAAAAGCACGAAAGACAUUCUGGCAGAAAGGAUCUUUUUUCGAGGAAAAAAUUCGACGCAGAGGGGGUUCCCCCCUUUUAGCCCCCGAGGGAGGGUCGGGUUUUGCCGAGGCGAGGCCGACCCUUCCUUGAUGACAAAACUUUGCGUGGGAGCGAGGUAUAUGAACAACUUGAAAACAUCUUAAGGGUAGGAGCGACGUAGCUGUUGGAUGUUCCAAGCGUUGCUGUAGACCUCGCCUUGACUGUUGGCCAGCUUGUACGUUCAGGGCUUUAGAACUUUGGCGAUGACGAACGGCCCCUCCCAGGGGGGCGUGAGCUUGUGCCGCCCUCGGGCGUCUUGUCGCAGCCGAAGCACCAGGUCGCCCACCUAGAGGUGUCGGGUCCGGACCCCUCGAGCGUGGUAGCGUCGCAUGGACUGCUGGUACCGCGCCGAGUGUAGUAAGGCCUUGUCCCGAGCCUCUUCCAGCUGGUCCAGCGAGUCUUCUCGAUUAACUUGGUUGCUUUGGUCAGCAUAGGCCCUCGUCCUCGGGGAACCGUAUUCUAAGUCUGUGGGCAAGAUGGCCUCGGCCCCAUAGACUAGAAAGAACGGCGUGAAGCCCGUGGCUCGGCUCGGCGUUGUCCUCAGGCUCCAGACUACCGAGGGGAGUUCCUUCAUCCAUCGCUUGCCGAACUUGUUGAGGCCGUUGUAGAUUCGAGGCUUGAGUCCUUGUAGAAUCAUGCCGUUGGCACGCUCUACUUGCCCAUUCGUCAUGGGGUGAGCCACGGCGGCCCAGUCCACCCGGAUGUGGUGAUCCUCGCAGAAGUCCAGGAACUUUCUGCCGGUGAACUGGGUGCCGUUGUCGGUGAUGAUGGAGUUCGGGACCCCAAAACGAUGGAUGAUGUUGGUGAAGAACACCACCGCCUGCUCGGACCUGAUGCUGUUUAGGGGUCGGACCUCGAUCCACUUGGAGAAUUUGUCGAUGGCGACCAACAGGUGCGUGUAGCCCCCGGGUGCCUUCUGCAAGGGGCCGACGAGGUCCAGACCCCACACAGCGAAAGGCCAGGUGAUGGGUAUCGUCUGCAGAGCCUGAGCGGGCAGGUGGGUCUGCCUUGCGUAGAACUGACACCCUUCGCAGGUGCAGACAGUUCUAGUGGCGUCGGCCACCGCCGUUGUCCAGUAGAAACCUUGUCGGAAGGCAUUUCCGACAAGGGCUCGAGGUGCUGCGUGGUGGCCGCAAGCCCCCGAGUGUAUCUCUCGUAAGAGUUCCUGACCUUCGGCGAUGCAGAUGCACCGCUGGAGGAUGCCUGAGGGGCUGCGGUGCUAGAGCUCCUUCCCAUCUCCCAGCAAGACGAACGACUUGGCGCGCCGCGCCAACCGCCGAGCUUUGCCUCGGUCGAGGGGUAGCUCUCCUCGGUGGAGAUAAUGCAGGUACGGGGUCUACCAGUUUUGAUCAGGCGUGACCCCGUUUCGCUCCCCCUCGACGUGCAGCGUCUCGCCCUCGGGGGCCGAGGGUGCCUCGGGCUGAACCGAGGGUGGCUCGGGCCGGGCUGAGGGUGCCUCGGGCCGUGCCGAAGAUGCCUCGGACUGAGCCGAGGGUACCUCGGGCUAGGCCGAGGGUGCCUCGGGCGCGGGCAUGUCGUCGAUCUUGACGGAGGGUUGAUGCAGGUCUCGGGAGAAGACGUCCGGGGGAACCAUUGUUCGCCCCGAGGCUAUUUUAACCAGCUUGUCCACAGUCUCGUUGUAGCGCCGAGCGAUGUGGUUGAGCUCGAGCCCGUAGAACUUGUCUUCCAAGCGCCGAACCUCAUCGCAGUAGGCCUCCAUCUUCGGGUCGCGGCAGUGGGAGUUCUUCAUGACUUGGUCGAUGACGAGCUGCGAGUCACCGCGAGCGUCGAGGCGUCGGACCCCUAGCUCGAUGGCGAUCCGCAACCCGUUGACCAGAGCCUCGUACUCAGCCACAUUGUUGGACGCCGGGAAAUGGAGGCGUAGCACGUGGCGUAGGUGCUUCCCGAGGGGUGAGAUGAAGAGUAGGCCUGCGCCGGCUCCUGUCUUCAUCAGCGACCCGUCGAAGAACAUGGUCCAGAGCUCCGGUUGGAUCGGAGGUGUUGGGAGCUGGGUGUUGACCCAUUCAGCCACGAAGUCCGCCAGGACCUGGGACUUGAUGGCCUUCCGAGGGGCGAACGAGAUUGCUUCGCCCAUGAUUUCCACCGCCCACUUUGCAAUUCUACCCGAGGCCUCUCGGCACUGGAUGAUCUCCCCCAGGGGGAAGGAUGACACCACAGUUACCGGGUGAGACUCGAAGUAGUGUCGCAGCUUCCGCCGUGUCAGGAUCACCGCGUACAACAGCUUCUGAACUUGUGGGUAGCGGAUCUUGGUUUCGGAUAGUACCUCGCUGACGAAGUAGACUGGCCUCGGAACGGGCAAUGCAUGCCCCUCUUCUUGCCUCUCGACCACAAUCGCGGCGCUGACCACCUGAGUGGUCGCGACGACGUAGAUCAAGAGGGCUUCUCCGGCAGCUGGGGGCACCAAGAUAGGCGCAUUCGUGAGGAGCGCCUUCAGGUUCCCGAGGGCUUCCUCGGCCUUAGGGGUCCAAGUGAAGCACUCGGUCUUCCUUAAGAGGUGGUACAGAGGCAGACCUCUUUCGCCGAGGCGUGAGAUGAAGCGGCUCAGAGCCGCGAGACAUCCCAUGACCCUUUGUACGCCCUUCAAGUCCUUGAUGGGCCCCAUGCUGGUGAUGGCUGCGAUCUUCUCCGGGUUGGCUUCGAUGCCCCGCUCGGAGACGAUGAACCCCAAGAGCAUGCCUCGGGGUACCCCGAAGACACACUUUUUGGGAUUGAGCUUCACGCCUUUCGCCUUGAUACAUUGGAAUGUCACUUCAAGGUCAAAAAGGAGGUCAGAGGCUUUCCUCGUCUUGACUACGAUGUCAUCGACGUAGGCCUCGACCGUCCGGCCAAUGUGUUCGCCGAACACAUGGUUCAUGCACCGCUGGUAUGUCGCGCCCGCAUUCCUCAAGCCGAACGACAUGGUGACAUAGCAGUACAUGCCGAAGGGUGUGAUGAAAGAAGUCACGAGCUGGUCGGACUCCUUCAUCCUGAUUUGGUGAUACCCUGAGUAGGCAUCGAGGAAAGACAGGGUUUCGCACCCAGCAGUGGAAUCCACGAUUUGAUCGAUGCGAGGCAGAGGGUAGGGAACCUUCGGACAUGCUUUGUUUAUACCAGUGUAGUCUACACACAUCCGCCAUUUCUCUCCUUUCUUUCUCACAAGCACAGGGUUGGCAAGCCACUCGGGAUGGAAUACCUCUUUGAUGAACCCUGCCGCCAUCAGCUUGUGGAUCUCCUCGCCUAUGGCUCUGCGCUUCUCUUCGUCGAAUCGGCGCAGAGGCUGCUUGACGGGUCGGGCUCCGGCUCGGAUGUCCAGCGAGUGCUCGGUGACAUCCCUCGGUAUGCCGGUCAUGUCCGAGGGACUCCACGCGAAGACAUCGGCGUUCGCGCGGAGAAAGUCGACGAGCACUGCUUCCUAUUUGGGAUCGAGCUCGGAGCCGAUCUGGACUUGCUUGGAGGCGUCGCUGCUAGGGUCGAGGGGGACGGACUUAACCGUCUCCGCUGGCUCGAAGUUGCCGGCAUGACGCUUCACGUCUGGCACCUCCUUAGAGAGGCUUUCCAGGUCGGCGAUGAGGGCCUCGGACUCGGCGAGGGCCUCGGCGUACUCCACGCACUCCACGUCGCAUUCGAACGCGUGUUUGUACGUGGGGCCGACGGUGAUGACCCCGUUGGGGCCCGUCAUCUUGAGUUUGAGGUAGGUGUAGUUGGGGACGGCCAUGAACUUCGCGUAGCAUGGCCUUCCCAGUACCGCGUGGUAGGUUCCUCGGAACCCGACCACCUCGAACGUCAGGGUCUCCCUUCGGAAGUUGGAGGGUGUUCCGAAGCAGACGGGAAGGUCGAGUUGUCCGAGGGGCUGGACGCGCUUCCCGGGGAUGAUCCCAUGGAAAGGCGCAGCGCCUGCCCGGACCGAGGACAGAUCGACACGCAGGAGCCCGAGGGUCUCGGCGUAGAUGAUGUUGAGGUUGCUGCCUCCGUCCAUGAGGACCUUGGUGAGCCUGACGUCGCCGAUGACGGGGUCGACAACGAGCAGGUAUUUUCCCGGGCUCGGCACGUGGUCGGGGUGGUCGGCUUGGUCGAAGGUGAUGGGCUUGUCGGACUAGUCUAGGUAGACUGGCGCCGCCACCUUCACCGAACAGACCUCCCGACGCUCUUGCUUGCGGCGCCGAGCCGAGGCGUUCGCCGCUUGCCCACCGUAGAUCAUGAAGCAGUCGCGGACCUCGGGGAACUCUCCUGCCUGGUGAUCUUCCUUCUUGUCAUCGUCGCGAGCCCUGCCACCCUCCGCGGGUGGCCCGGCCCUGUGGAAGUGGCGCCGAAGCAUGACGCACUCCUCAAGGGUGUGCUUGACGGGCCCCUGGUGAUAGGGGCACGGCUCCUUGAGCACCUUGUCGAAGAGGUUGGCACCUCCGGGGGGUUUCCGAUGGUUCUUGUACUCGGCGGCGGCGACAAGGUCCGCAUCGGCGGCGUCGUGUUUUGCUUGCGACUUCUUCUUGCCCUUCUUCUUGGCGCCGCGCUGAGUUGACGCCUCGGGGGCAUCUUCUGGUGGGCGGCCCUGGGGCUGCUUGUCCUUCCGAAAGAUAGCCUCGACCGCCUCCUGGCCAGAGGCGAACUUGGUGGCGAUGUCCAUCAGCUCGCUCGCCCUGGUGGGGGUCUUGCGACCCAGCUUGCUCACCAGGUCGCGGCAGGUGGUGCCGGCGAGGAACACGCCGAUGACAUCCGAGUCGGUGAUGUUGGGCAGCUCGGUGCGCUGCUUCGAGAAUCGCCGGAUGUAGUCCCGGAGAGACUCUCCCGGCUGCUGUCGGUAGCUUCGGAGGUCCCAGGAAUUCCCAGGGCGCACGUACGUGCCCUGGAAAUUGCCGGCGAAGGCUUGGACCAGGUCGUCCCAGUUGGAGAUCUGCCCCGGAGGCAGGUGCUCCAACCAGGCGCGAGCGGUGUCGGAGAGGAACAGGGGGAGGUUGCGGAUGAUGAGGUUGUCAUCGUCCGUUCCACCCAGUUGGCAGGCCAGCCGGUAGUCCGCGAGCCACAGCUCCGGUCUUGUCUCCCCCGAGUACUUUGUGAUGGUAGUCGGGGGUCGGAACUGGGUCGGGAACGGCGCCCGUCGUAUGGCCCGACUGAAAGCCUGCGGACCGGGUGGUUCGGGCAAGGGACUCCGAUCCUCCCCGCUGUCGUAGCGUCCCCCACGCCUGGGGUGGUAGCCUCGGCGCACCCUCUUGUCGAGGUGAGCCCGACGGUCGCGGUGAUGGUGCUCGUUGCCGAGGCGUCCUGGGGCCGCAGGCGCAGUGUUGUGCGUGCGCCCGGUGUAGACCGAGGCUUCCCGCAUGAAUCGGGAAGUCGCGACAUGAUGUUCCGAGGGGUACCCCUGCCUUCGGGAGGCCGAGCUCUCGGCCCGUCGGACCGCGGCGCCUUCCAGGAGAUUCUUGAGCUCUCCCUGGAUUCGCCGCCCCUCAGUGGUUGAUGGCUCUGACAUCGCACGGAGAAGCAUUGCUGCUGCAGCCAGGUUCUGGCCGACCCCACUGGACGCGGGUGGCGGCCUGACCCUGACAUCGUCGGCGAUGCGGUGCUGGAAGCCCUGGGGUAGAUGACGCAUUUCUCCGGCCGGAGGUUGGCCCGCCCAUCCCUGCCCGACGUCCCGGCGGAUCGGCUCAAGCGCUCCUACUCCCUCGUCGAGCCUGGCCGGCACCCCGCGGAUUUGCUCGAGCUGCGGGUCAUGGCCCCCCGCCUGAACGGGGACCACAGCUAGCUCCCGUGGGAUGUCAGCGUGAGGCACCGGCCUAGGGAGAUCAUCGUCCUCCGGCAUGCCGAGAUGGUUGCCUUCGGAGGGACCCCCUAGAUCGAUGUGCAAACAUUCGCGGCUUGGGCCGCAGUCCUCGUCGCCGAGGCUGCGGCUACCGUCGGAACAGUCGGAAAUGCAGUAGUCGCAUGCGGUCAUAAAGUCCCGCAUGGCACUGGGGUUGCCAAGUCCAGAGAAAUUCCAACAGAAGUCGGGCACGUCGUCUUCCUCGGACCCCGAGGGCCUGUAGGUCGAGACGUCCGUCAGCCGGUCCCAGGGUGACCGCAUACGAUACCCCAGAGGGUUUGGACUCGCCUCUACGAGAGCGUCCGCCAAAGCGAAGCCGCUGGCGGGUCGAGGCUGAAUCCAAAGGGCAUGAGAUGGGAAUCGGUCGGUACCUCUUGGUCGACGGGCGGUGAUGCAAUCACGUCGGGGACUGACUGCACCAUCGUCUCAGGUACGAGGGUGACAUCCAGCAAGCUUUUCGCGAGCGUGCUGGCGUCGUCCGUUUGCUCGGAAUCUGCGUGUUGCGGGGAGACGACGCUCGUCCUCGUCUCAAACGCGAGGUCGAUGCCCGACGCGCCCCCCGUUGGGGCGCUGGCGCCGUCGACUCGCUCGACAGCCGACGAGGCGCUGUCUCCUGCUUGGCCUUGGUUGCCCCGCCUCCUCCUCCGUCGGCAGGGGAGAGGACAGGGUGAGCUCAAAUGGUGUUCUUCCACCACGCGGGGAAGACGUCGUCGAUUCCGCCGCCGGCGGGCGGGCUGUCGGCCGCCAUUGUCGCCGUCACACGGCGGGGGAAGGAGUAUCAUGUCGUAGCUGCCGUCGAGGGACAUGAACUCAAGACUCCCGAAACGGAGCACCGUCCUGGGUUGGAGAGGUUGCUGGAGACUGCCCAUCUGGAGCUUAACGGGAAGCUGUUCGUCAACACGUAGCAGGCCCCUACCUGGCGCGCCAACUGUCGGCGUUUCGAGACCGGGGGGUCCCUAGGCCGACGAGUGAAAUGUCGCCGCGUGCCCUAGCCCAGAUGGGUCGACGCGAGGCCGAGCGCGAAGGGGGGAGAAAGGUGGCCGGAGACAGGCGUGAGAGAGGUGGAAAUCCCGCGGCCUUCGUGUUCAUCCCACGCCCAGGUCGGGUGCGCUUGCAGUAGGGGAUUACAAGCGUCCACGCAGGAGAGGGAGCGAGCGGCUUCAAGCGAGCGCCUGUCUCGUCCUCGUCCCCGCGCGGCCAACCCUCUCUAAGAGGGCCCUGGUCCUUCCUUUUAUAGGCGUAAGGAGAGGAUCCAGGUGUACAAUGGGGGGUGUAGCAGAGUGCUACGCGUCUAGCGGAGGAGAGCUAGCGCCCUAAGUACACGCCAUCGUGGCGGCCGGAGAGGUUAUGGCGCCCAGUUCGUGUGAUGUCGUGGCCGUCGGAGGAGCGCUGGAGCCUGGCGGAGGGACAGCUGUCGGAGCUGUCGAGUCCUUGCUGACGUCCUCUUGCUUUCAUAAGGGGGUUGAGAGCCGCCGUCGUCAGGGAGCGUGCGGGGAGCCAUCAUUGCCUAUCUGGCGGAGCGAGCCAGAUGGGACGCCGGUCUCGUUUCCCGUAGCCUGAGUCAGCUUGGGGUAGGGUAAUGAUGGUGCCUCCCGUUGACGUGGCUGGUAUGCGCCCUAGGUUGGGCGAUGUGGAGGCUCCUCCGAGGUCGAGGUCGAGUCUGUCUUCCAUGGCCGUGGUCGAGUCCGAGCCCCUGGGUCGGGCGAGGCGGAGACCGUCGGCUGAGGCCAGGGCUGAGUCCGAGCCCUGGGGUCGGGCGAAGUGGAGUUCGUCGUCUUCUGGGGCUGAGCCCAAGUCCGAGCCCUGGGUCGGGCGGAGCGGAGUUCGCCGUCUUCCGGGGCUUAGCCCGAGUCCGAGCCCUGGGUCGGGCGGAGCGGAGUUCACCGUCUUCCGGGGCUUAGCCCGAGUCCGAGCCCUAGGUUGGGCGGAGCGGAGUUCGUCGUCUUCUGGGGCUGAGCCCAAGUCCGAGCCCUGGGUCGGGCGGAGCGGAGUUCGUCGUCUUCCGGGGCUUAGCCCGAGUCCGAGCCCUGGGUCGGGCGGGAGAGCUUCCUAUGGCACCUGAGGUCGGGCCUGACUGCCUGUCAGCCUCACUCUGUCAGAUGGCACUGCAGUCGGUGCGGCGAAUGCGGCGCUAUCCUUCUGUCAGGUCGGUCAGUGGAGCGGCGAAGUGACUGCGGUCACUUUGGCUCUGUCGACUGAAGGGCGCGCGUCAGGAUAAUGGUGUCAGGCCACCUUUGCAUUAAAUGCUCCUGCGAUUUGGUCAGUCGAUGCGACGAUUUGGUCAGGGUUGCUUCUUAGCGAAGACAGGGCCUCGGGCGAGCCGGAAAUGUGUUCGCCGCUGGAGGGGGGCCUCGGGCGAGACGGAGAUUCUCCGGGGUCGGCUGCCCUUGUCCGAGGCUAGGCUCGGGCGAGGCGUGAUCGAGUCCCUCGAAUGGACCGAUCCCUGACUUAAUCGCACCCAUCAGGCCUUCGCAGCUUUAUGCUGAUGGGGGUUACCAGCUGAGAAUUAAGAGCCUUGAGGGUACCCCUAAUUAUGGUCCCCGACAAGCGCCUUCCUUAAUGGACCAAUCAAGGAGGAAGUAUAUGUGGAACAACCCCCUAGCUUUGAUAUGCCAAAUAUAUGUCGUUGACAUUAUAUUUGGUUCUAGUAAUCAAAAGUCUUGUGAGGAGUUUAGCAGGGUGAUGAUGAAAACAUUCGAGAUGUUAAUGAUAGGCGAGUUGAACUACUUCCUUGGAUUUCAAGUGAAGCAACUCAAGGAAGGAACCUUCAUCUCCCAAACAAUGUACACUCAAAAUUUGCUCAAGAGGUUUGGGAUGAAGGAUGCUGUAACACCCCUGGUGUUACUAUAACUAAAACUUGAGCAUGGCAUCAUAAGCAUUGGCAUUGCAUAUGUGUGACACACCUAGAGUGCAUUCACUAGGCAAAAAUUUCAAACAAGUUGUAUUGUUUUAAUGUUUUUGCAAAUAGAACCCUGGUUAAAGGACUUAACCUUAAAUAGUGGUUAAAGGGGUAAAACUUAACCCAAGUUAAGAAAACCUAAAUACUUUAGGGUAAAAGUCAUAAAAUGACCCCAAAAAUGAACUUGAAUCACCUUUAUACCCUUGGGAUACCAGAAACCCUAAUUAAAACCCUGGAAAACCCUGAAACCAAACCCUAGGGGCUUAUAUGCAAAAUUGGUCCACUUUUGGACUAAAGUGCAAAAACCAAGCCAAAUAAAUAUCUUAAGUCCUUUGGUUCACAAAUAUGUGGACUUGAAAGCCAAACCCUAAGUUUUGGACUCAUUUGCAAAAAGGACCUUGAUUUUGAUUCCUAUGCUAAGUCUGAAAACAGGGUUGUAGGCCCAACUUUGGGGCUGUGUAACUUUCAAAAUAGUAAGAAUUCAUGAUAGGUGACCACAUCAAAGUUGAAGAUCAAUCUUAGGGGAACAACUUUGUUUAAGGAUUCAAGCCAUGGUCUUAUGUGAAAUUUGGAGAAAAAACCCAAUCAAAGAUGGGCUCUCAGACUGCUUGAAGUUGAAUUUCAGAGUUACAGUAAUUAUGAGAACCAAUCCUACUACUUCGCGUCCCGGGAUUUCCACAAUUGAAGAAAAAAGCGUAGGGCGUAUUGAUCAAAUUAUUGGACCCGUGCUGGAUAUCACUUUUCCCCCGGGCAAGUUGCCUUAUAUUUAUAAUGCUUUGAUAGUCAAGAGUCGAGACACUGCCGAUAAGCAAAUUAAUGUGACUUGUGAGGUACAACAAUUAUUAGGAAAUAAUCGAGUUAGAGCUGUGGCUAUGAGUGCUACAGAGGGGUUGAUGAGAGGAAUGGAAGUGAUUGACACGGGAACUCCUCUCAGUGUUCCAGUCGGUGGAGCUACUCUCGGACGAAUUUUUAACGUUCUUGGGGAGCCUAUUGACAAUUUGGGUCCUGUGGAUACUAGUGCAACAUUUCCUAUUCAUAGAUCUGCGCCUGCCUUUAUCGAGUUAGAUACGAAAUUAUCUAUCUUUGAAACAGGUAUUAAGGUGGUCGAUCUUUUAGCUCCCUAUCGAUGUGGAGGAAAAAUCGGACUGUUUGGGGGGGGCAGGAGUAGGUAAAACAGUACUCAUCAUGGAAUUAAUCAAUAACAUUGCUAAAGCUCAUGGAGGCGUAUCCGUAUUUGGCGGAGUAGGGGAACGGACUCGUGAAGGAAAUGAUCUUUAUAUGGAAAUGAAGGAAUCCGGAGUAAUUAAUGAAAAAAAUAUUGAGGAAUCAAAGGUAGCUCUAGUCUAUGGCCAAAUGAAUGAACCGCCGGGAGCUCGUAUGAGAGUUGGUAUUGAUUUGGAUCCAGUGCUCAAAUGAGUUCAAUCCCUAUAGUCGAAUUGUAGCUGGUUUGUAGCUUUGAAACUUUGCUACAGAGAGUGGAGUGAGUUACUAGAGAAACUUUAGAGAGAAUUGGUCCUAAACUGUGACUGUCAGGCGCACUGAUGAACAUAUCCCAUGGUACAGUGCUCUAACCGGAUCAGAUCGACCGCCGUGGAAAAAUCUCACCGCCGGCGACCGCUUUGCCGGGAUUGGUGCCGCGGCCAUGUGGAUGUUGCUCACCUUGAAAAGAUCUCACCGUGGAUAAACUUGGAGCACUGUGGCCACUCGGUCACUUCUCCCCUUACCGGCGACGUGGCCGCACGGCCAUCACCGGCGUGCCGCCGUUCUUUGCUGUUAUGCCACGCCGUCGGCCAUCUUACCACGUCGCAGUCGAUUACUAUACGCCGUCCUUCUUUUACUUAAGGCCUUGCCACGCCAUAGGACACGUACUCCGCGCGCCAAGCUUCUUCCCCGCCUCCGGCCGCCAGCUCGUCGCGGUCAAAUUGAGAGCCACCGCUCUCGGAGUCUAUAAAUUGAGCCCCCCCUCGGCUUCGCCAUGUACUCUACUAGCUAUCGCACCCGCUUGCAUCCCAAACCUCCCACCAGAGAGCUUGAAUUUGGAAUCCCCCCCAAAUCCGAUCCCCGCCACCGUGAAACCAAGUCCACCGUGGCCAGCCGAUUCUGGUAACGCUCUGUCCGGUUCAAACCUUGUUUAAGUCUUCUCAUAGCUCAGUGAUGCUCGCCAAGCCAUCAAUUUGAAUGUAGAUACCUCCAAUCGUCGGGAACACGCUCAUCCGUCCGCAAUGCUCUCGGUCACCGUGGCCAGAGCUCUGUAGUCGGUCGUUCGUGCAAUUAGGUUAGGGGAAAUACUCCUUAGGGGUUUAAUCCUGUGUAUGUCGCUCGGGAGCGCCGGUCACUGCCCCAAUCGGCCGGUUUGCUAGCUCGCCGGAGCGCGGCGGUGCGCGAGCGCCGUCGGGGACUUGAAACACAGAAUAGAUAGAAACCAGAGGGUCUUUUUGUGAAGUGUCAGUGACUUAGAAAAACAGUAACCGAACCUAUCUCCAGUUAGCCAAAACGCCGAGGGCCUCUGCGCAAACUCGCCUCGCGGGCGCGGACGCGCGCGCGAUUUCGCGCGGAUCUGGGCCGCCUGGGCUGAAUCCGGCCCAGUUCUAUUUAAUUCUUUUCCUUUUUCUUUUUCAGGAAAACUUUAGAAAUGUGUAGAAAAAUGUAGAAAAAUGCUAAAAAUAUGAGACUAAUUUUCCUAGACUUGUUAUUUUUCCUAGAAUUUAGUAAAAAUAAGUUUGUGAUUUUUAGUGAAAGUAAGAAAUUUUAGGGUAUUUAAAGUGGUUAAAAAUGUUAGUUAUGGAUUUUUAGAAAACAAAUGGUAAGUCCAAAAAUGCUCAAAAUUUUUAUAUGAGUUCCUCAUAAUAUUUAGAAGCCUUGGGUAUAGUUUGAAUUGAUUUGGACCUUGUUUGAUCACCAAACCCCAAAACACCCCCCCUGCCCUAUGAACUCCUUUACCGACUCCGGAAACCCUAAGUUCCCGGAACUCCGUGAAGGAAAAUUGUAUUCAAGACAUAAAUAAUAAGUUUAUGUUAUCUUUGCAUCCUCAUGAGCAUCCCAUGGCAUCCAUUCUUAUACAUAUGUAUGGUUAUGAUUAGAACGUGAGGAAGAAAUCGAAGUUACCGAAGAGGAGACACCACCACCUUCGGAGUCUCAGGCCGGGAAUCAUUUCUACUUUGACAUCUGUGGAUCUGAGCCUGAUUCACCUGUGAACGAAGGCAAGCCCCGGUGCAUGCAACCCCUUUCCUUGUGUUUUUAAAUACUUUUUGCACACUUAAGUCUAGUGAAAUGUGCAUUAGGUUCAUAGGAGUUACUUGAAACCCUUUGAUGCAUUGCUCUCCUUGAUAUCCAUACCUUUAUAGAUACUUCUGUGAAGUAUCAAAACAUGAUUCACAAAAAUGCUUAGACUUGCUUAGAUCUUGUGGAUAGAAGUUGUCCUCAAUUUAACCAUGGAGAGGAUGGCUUCUACCUGCAAGAAUAUUUUCAUUUGGAGCAAGAGUGGGAUCUUACUGCAAAGUUCCCUGUGAUGCUCUUUCAUCCUAAGGAACAGACACAAUCCUAAGGAUGGAAAUACUUAAAUUGAGACUUGGGGUAGGAACAGGUGAUGUUCUACCCAGGUUGGUUAAGGAUUAACGCGUAUGUAGGCGUGCUGACCGAGGACCCUUUAACUGGUCACAUGCCUCGUCAUGGGUAAGCCUUGCCUCGGGCAGACUAAGGCCGGAAUAAGAUAACACGAAAUGGGCGUGGAGCGGUGGCGAGAGUAGCGUGUACCCUCCGUGGCAAGAGGCUGGACGGUGGUGUAUCUGUGCUCUCAGUUUGCAUGAACCUGUUCCGGUCUUAAGAACCCCGGUGGCGGGUUGACAUAUGCAAGGGUUAAGUGCUACAUAUGUCGUGUGAUUGGAGAUCCUCAGCUGAGUAUAAUCGAUUCGGAUCGCCGUACCUUCGCGGUUAUGAAGACUUGGUCACUUCCCUGCAACCUAGAGUCAGGAUGUGAACACGAUGGAUAAAAAUGAUGUUAUCUUGAUGUGAUGUGAAAUUAGACUAGAUGCAAAUGGAGUCUAUUAAUACUUAAUAUGGCAUUAAAAGAUUGAAAGUAAGGACUCAUUUUAGUAAGCUACUUCUGCAAAAGUAUAAGUUGAUUUUUGCUAAAGCCUCUCCUUGACUCCUAUUUAUCCAGCAUACCCUUGAAAGUCUUUUCCUUAGUCGGGUAAGACUUGCUGAGUAUUCCAUACUCAGGGUUUAUCCCUUUGUUGUUUUUAGGUGAGGAAGCGACAAACUUUUGUUGCUUCUGCUCCAAGGUGGUACCAAACGAGGAAAAACAAGACUGAAGUGCGGGAGGACUCGGUCCUCCACUUAGGAUCUUUUGUUUAUUAAACUUAUCGGGAGGAGUUUGUGCCUCCCCUGGUUUGUAUAAUAUUACUACUCUGCACUCACUUUUAGUCUGGUCUGUAAUAACAUAACUUAAGCUUGCUUUUGAAAUAAAUGUAAGUUUAUGUAAUUGCUUCCGCAUGUCUUUAUCUCCGAUGUUCUGUAAUGUCUGCAAGACGGGUGAGACGUUCCUGAUAAGGUAAGGAAAGAUACCGAACUUGUCAAGUAGUCAGGGGCACCUGCAGGGUUGUCUAAAGUCCGUUGGACAAGGACAACUGUAGGUGGGCCUAAUUACUUGGGAGGUUCUGUCACAGCUGGUAUCGGAGCGUAGCCCUUCUUUGCAUAUAUUAUGAGGCAUCUUCAAAAGGAUUUUCAAAAGUCUUACCUAAAAACUCUUUUCUCUUCUUACCUAAGUAUUCUGAAGAAGUCUAUCUUAAAGACCAGAUAGGAAGAGUGCAACAUAUAGAAGGUUGAAUCGACUAAGAUUGAUUCUGUAAUUAUACAUGCAUCAUGCUAAGAAUCUUACUAAUAACAUUUUCCCCCUUAGAAAGAUGCCGCCACGUACCAGGCUAACGGCACGCAAGUCUACGGGACCAAUUGGAGUGCCUCGGCAUCAACUGGCUCCCCGACAUGAAAGCAGCAGCAGUGGAAGUAAUGACCCCAUCGGAGACCUUGAAGCCCGUGUGAGUCGACUUCAAGCAGCGCUGCAACAUAGGACUGAUGCUUGGGUCACCGACGGAGAUAGAAUCAAUGAACUGAGAAGGGACAUCCGACAUCUGCAGGAUCAACUCGCUGAUCGAGACUUAGCACUUGACUGGGCCGUACAGUCUCGUUUGCUAAUGUGUGCUAAGGAAGAAAGGGCUCAGGCCCGAGUUAAAGAACUUAGCUCGACUGUUGAUAACCUGCAGGUUUACUGCAAUACGUUGCAUGAGGAAGUCCAUAUACUAUACUCACAAUUACACCCAAGUGAGCCUGCACAACCUACUGAGGCGGAAGCUGGACCAUCUCACGUUGCGGGACGUGCGCUGGGUGGGGAGUUAGACCUUUUUGAGCCCCCUCCUUCUUUGAGGUUGGUUGAUGUCUGGACUCCCACACCUGACGAUGAAGCCGCCAAGACUAAUGGCAAGCAGGAAUAAAGGUGUAAUAGAAGUAGAGUAGUGUAUGGUAGGGUAUUGUAGGGUGUACUGUUGUAUAAUAGGUUGAACUUUUGUAUAAUGGGUAUUGUAUCCUGUUAUGUAAUAUCGAGUCUGUAUCAUUACUUUUUAUAGUAAUGUAAAAUGGAAGGUUUUCUCUGGCACAUUAUGUUUACUUCAAAUGUUUUUGCCACAGAUGCCGACCAGGACUCGAGGACAGGACGCAGCAGGAACUUCUGGGGGACGGGAUGUUACCCCAAACCCACCUCCAGUUCCUCCCACGUUAGCCGAGGCGAUCGCCGCCUUGGUGAAUGCCACCGCAGACAAUACCCGCUUCCUUAGGGAAAUGGCGGGUCAGCAGCAAUUCCAGCAGCAGGCAGGAAGAGGUUAUCCGCAAGGCCCUCGUGAGACCACCUAUCUGGAUUUCUCUGAAACCCGUCCACCCCUAUUCGUCAAGGCUGAAGAUCCCCUAGAAGCUGAUGAGUGGAUUCGGGUCAUUGAACAAAAGUUUGGUCUUCUCCGUUGCUCAGAGACGCAGAAGCCGUUGUUCGUAGCACAACAACUCCGUGGUCCUGCCAGUACCUGGUGGGGAAAUUUUAUGGCUAUUCAACCUGACAACCAUCAAGUCACCUGGGAUGAGUUUAAAGCAGCUUUCCGUGAACACUACAUCCCCGAAGGAGUGCUGCAUAUGAAACAAGAGGAGUUUAUGAAGUUACAACAAGGCGGAGAUACCAUCACUCAAUAUCUCAACAAAUUCAAUCACCUGUCGCAGUAUGCCAUCGACCAGGUGAAUACGGAUUUAAAGAAGAAGAACUGUUUUAUGCGGGGUCUGAAUGAUCGGCUACAAAGGAAAAUGGCCACAUGCAUAGAUCUCACGUAUGGAAAGGCUGUCAGCACAGCCUUAUCUGUGGAAGCCAAAUACUCAACUUCUGGGAAGAACAAGGGAUUCGGUGGUGAGAGGCCUAAUCAGGGCCAGGCGAAGAAGCAACGGUUUGUGAUUCGACCCUCAAACCAAAAUCGCACUUUUUCUCGUCCACCUUCAUUUCCCUUCAAACAGCCUAUCAUUAUCCGCCCAACAAUACCCCCACUACCCCAAAACAGCCGGGUGCCCCAGGCACUCGAUUUCCUGCCUUACCUAGUUCUUCAACUGGGUGCUUUAAUUGCGGCAAGUUGGGACACUUCAUCAAAGACUGCCCAUAUCCUAGGCAAAAUCAAUCUAAUGCUUCGCAAGGAUCUGGGAAAUCAGCUCAACCUAAAGGAGAUGCUAUGGGGAAAAAUACGAAGAAAACGGGGCGUGUAUAUUACACUCAAGUGGCUACCACACCGGAAGGAGAACCGGUGAUGAUGGGUACGUUUCCCGUGGCCAGUCACCCAGCAAUUAUUCUUUUUGAUUCUGGUGCUUCACAUACAUUCAUUAGCAAGAAGUUUGUGGAACAACAUCAUAUUGCAUACCAUGAAUCAAAGGAGGGAUUUAAAAUUCAUUCACCUGGGGGACACAUUUAUACUAAAGAAGUGGCCUAUGGAGUGCCAGUAACAAUGGCCGGACGGAACUUUCCUGCUAAUAUGAUCGUUCUGAAAGGCCAGGAUAUAGAUGUAAUCUUGGGUAUGAAUUGGUUAACCCAACACAAGGCAAUUCUCAACACUGAACUCAGAACCGUCAGGUUGAGCUAUAACCAAGAAGAGAUUCUUUUGACUCUCCCCGCAACCAAUCCAGCCAAAGCUUCUGGUAGAGUCUAUGAAGCCAUUGUACCGGAGAUCAAGAAUAUUCCGGUAGUAUGUGAGUUUCCAGAUGUAUUUCCGGAAGAUUUGCCUGGACUGCCCCCUGAAAGAGAUGUAGAAUUUGUAAUUGAGCUAAAGCCCGGUACGGCUCCCAUCUCCCGAAGAUCGUACCGUAUGCCCCCUAAUGAGUUGGCGGAACUGAAGAUUCAAUUACAAGAUCUACUGAAUAAGGGAUUCAUCCGGCCAAGCUCGUCCCAGUGGGGUUGUCCCGCCAUUUUUGUUAAGAAGAAGGAUCAAACCUUGAGAAUGUGCGUGGAUUAUCGACCCCUAAAUGAGGUCACUAUCAAGAAUAAGUACCCUCUUCCAAGGAUCGACAUAUUAUUUGAUCAACUGACUGGGGCGAGGGUAUUUUCCAAAAUUGAUCUCAGGUCAGGCUAUCAUCAAAUCCGUAUUCGGCCCGAGGAUAUACCGAAAACCGCGUUUACUACGCGGUAUGGAUUGUUUGAAUACUUGGUAAUGUCUUUCGGGCUCACAAAUGCUCCUGCCCACUUUACCUACUUGAUGAACUCGGUGUUCAUGCCCGAGUUGGACAAAUUCGUGGUAGUCUUCAUCGACGAUAUCUUGAUAUAUUCUAAGAAUGAAGAGGACCAUGCUCAGCAUUUACGGAUUGUAUUGACGCGCCUGAGGGAACACCAGCUAUAUGCCAAGUUCAGCAAGUGCGCGUUCUGGCUGGAAGAAAUUCAAUUUUUGGGGCACGUGUUAUCAGCUAAAGGAAUUGCGGUAGAUCCUAGCAAGGUCAAAGAUAUUCUGGAGUGGAAACCCCCAACAACUGUUCACCAAGUCCGGAGUUUUCUUAGACUAGCUGGGUAUUAUCGCAGAUUCAUACCAGAUUUUUCUAAGCUUGUGAAGCCAAUCACAAGUUUGUUGAAGAAUGACAUUAAGUUCAAUUGGUCUUCUAAGUGCAAUGAAGCCUUUGAGCAACUGAAGACACUAUUGACCACUGCUCCGGUAUUAGCUCAACCGGACAUCACUAAACCUUUUGAUGUAUAUUGUGAUGCAUCUGGCAGUGGGCUCGGCUGUGUACUGAUGCAAGAGGGCCGAGUGAUUGCGUAUGCUUCAAGGCAGUUGAGCCGACAUGAGGAGCACUAUCCAACUCAUGAUCUGGAGCUAGCUGCUGUGGUUCAUGCCCUAAAGAUUUGGCGUCACUAUCUGCUGGGUAAUAUCUGUCACAUAUAUACAGAUCAUAAAAGUUUGAAGUACAUCUUCACCCUGUCAGAAUUAAAUAUGAGGCAAAGACGAUGGCUUGAGCUCAUUAAAGAUUAUGAACUGGAGAUCCAUUAUCACCCAGGCAAGGCCAAUGUGGUGGCAGAUGCGCUGAGUCGUAAGACUUCCUGCCACUGUCUUAUGGCGAAGACCUUCGAGAACACUUUGUGUCAAGAAAUGGAAAAGCUAAACCUGGGGAUCAUCCAACAAGGGACUCUAAAUCAGCUAAAGCUUGAGUCAAUCAUUUUAUAAAGGAUAAUUGAUGCUCAAAAAGAUAAUCCGGGUAUGAAGCACAUUCGAGAGAAGAUAAAGGCUGGAGUAGCCAAGUGUUUCAAGGAAGACGAUCAAGGUGUGAUAUGGUUUAAAAACCGCAUAGUAGUGCCAAAGAACGAAGAACUCCGCCAGCAAAUUCUUGAUGAAGCACAUCUUAGUCGUUAUUCUAUUCAUCCCGGAAGCACUAAGAUGUAUCAAGACUUAAAGCAAUAUUAUUGGUGGACGAAGAUGAAAAUCGAAAUUGCACGCUAUGUGGCUAAGUGUGACACUUGCAGACGUGUCAAGGCCAUACACAUGAAAACUGCUGGUCCAUUACAAUCCUUGCCAAUCCCAACAUGGAAAUGGGAAGACGUCAGUAUGGACUUUAUUGUGGGAUUACCCAGGACGGCCAAAGGGUAUGAUUCUAUUUGGGUUAUCGUUGAUCGACUCACAAAGAUUGCCCACUUCUUACCCGUCAGAGCCAAAUAUACAGUAGCCACUUAUGCAGCAUUAUAUAUCAGCCGUAUUCUCAGUUUGCAUGGUAUUCCAAAGACCAUAGUGUCGGAUCGUGGACCUCAGUUCGUAUCCAAGUUUUGGGAAAAACUUCAUAAAUCCUUGGGUACCAAAUUGCUCCACAGUUCGGCUUAUCAUCCUCAAACCAGUGGGCAGACUGAGAGGGUGAACCAAAUACUUGAAGAUAUGCUGCGGGCAUGUGUCCUGGACUUCUCACCAAAAUGGGAUGAAUGUUUGCCCCUAGCGGAGUUUUCAUACAAUAACAGUUAUCAAGAAAGUAUCAAGAUGGCACCUUUUGAAGCUUUAUAUGGACGACGGUGUCGAACUCCGCUAAAUUGGUCUGAACCUGGAGAAAGAUACUUCUUUAGACCUGAUAUGGUGAAAGAGAUCGAAGAAAAGGUUCAGAGAAUUAUUCAUAAUAUGAAGAAAGCUCAGACUCGACAAAAGAGUUAUGCAGACCGACGAAGACAACCCUUGUGCUUUCUGGUAGACGAUUAUGUCUACUUAAAGGUUUCACCAAUGAAGGGUGUAUCGCGUUUCGGGGUUAAAGGGAAGCUUGCACCCAGGUACAUUGGUCCAUUCCUGGUACUUGAGCAAUGUGGACCAGUGGCAUACCGACUUCAGCUCCCCGAAACAUUAUCUGCUGUGCACAAUGUGUUCCAUGUGUCACAACUGAAGAAGUGUCUUCGGGUUCCUGAUCGAACCAUUGAAGUGACUGAUGUUGUCCUGGAACCAGAUUUAACAUACUCGGAACAUCCUAUUCGAGUUCUGGAUCAAAAGGACAGGGUCACCCGAAGAAAGACUCUCAAAUUCUACAAGAUACAGUGGAACCAGCAUUCUGAAGAUGAGGCUACAUGGGAAACCCAAGACUUCUUGAAUAAGAAUUUCCCAGGCUUCUUAGCCUCUUGUAACUUGUAAAGCCUGUAUAGCUAUUGUAAUAAAGAAGUAACCCCCACAUUACCCUUGUCUUGUACCAAAAUUAAGGAAAUAAAAAUGUGAUGUGUUUCCUUUACCAUUACCUACCCUAGGAUUUUAAUCUCGGGACGAGAUUCUUUUAUGGGGGGAAGGAUGUAACACCCCUGGUGUUACUAUAACUAAAACUUGAGCAUGGCAUCAUAAGCAUUGGCAUUGCAUAUGUGUGACACACCUAGAGUGCAUUCACUAGGCAAAAAUUUCAAACAAGUUGUAUUGUUUUAAUGUUUUUGCAAAUAGAACCCUGGUUAAAGGACUUAACCUUAAAUAGUGGUUAAAGGGGUAAAACUUAACCCAAGUUAAGAAAACCUAAAUACUUUAGGGUAAAAGUCAUAAAAUGACCCCAAAAAUGAACUUGAAUCACCUUUAUACCCUUGGGAUACAAGAAACCCUAAUUAAAACCCUGGAAAACCCUGAAACCAAACCCUAGGGGCUUAUAUGCAAAAUUGGUCCACUUUUGGACUAAAGUGCAAAAACCAAGCCAAAUAAGUAUCUUAAGUCCUUUGGUUCACAAAUAUGUGGACUUGAAAGCCAAACCCUAAGUUUUGGACUCAUUUGCAAAAAGGACCUUGAUUUUGAUUCCUAUGCUAAGUCUGAAAACAGGGUUGUAGGCCCAACUUUGGGGCUGUGUAACUUUCAAAAUAGUAAGAAUUCAUGAUAGGUGACCACAUCAAAGUUGAAGAUCAAUCUUAGGGGAACAACUUUGUUUAAGGAUUCAAGCCAUGGUCUUAUGUGAAAUUUGGAGAAAAACCCAAUCAAAGAUGGGCUGUCAGACUGCUUGAAGUUGAAUUUCAGAGUUACAGUGCUAUGGGGUGAACUUUGAGCUCGAUUUUGAUUUGGAUCCAGUGCUCAAAUGAGUUCAAUCCCUAUAGUCGAAUUGUAGCUGGUUUGUAGCUUUGAAACUUUGCUACAGAGAGUGGAGUGAGUUACUAGAGAAACUUUAGAGAGAAUUGGUCCUAAACUGUGACUGUCAGGCGCACUGAUGAACAUAUCCCAUGGUACAGUGCUCUAACCGGAUCAGAUCGACCGCCGUGGAAAAAUCUCACCGCCGGCGACCGCUUUGCCGGGAUUGGUGCCGCGGCCGUGUGGAUGUUGCUCACCUUGAAAAGAUCUCACCGUGGAUAAACUUGGAGCACUGUGGCCACUCAGUCACUUCUCCCCUUACCGGCGACGUGGCCGCACGGCCAUCACCGGCGUGCCGCCGUUCUUUGCUGUUAUGCCACGCCGUCGGCCAUCUUACCACGUCGCAGUCGAUUACUAUACGCCGUCCUUCUUUUACUUAAGGCCUUGCCACGCCAUAGGACACGUACUCCGCGCGCCAAGCUUCUUCCCCGCCUCCGGCCGCCAGCUCGUCGCGGUCAAAUUGAGAGCCACCGCUCUCGGAGUCUAUAAAUUGAGCCCCCCCUCGGCUUCGCCAUGUACUCUACUAGCUAUCACACCCGCUUGCAUCCCAAACCUCCCACCAGAGAGCUUGAAUUUGGAAUCCCCCCCAAAUCCGAUCCCCGCCACCGUGAAACCAAGUCCACCGUGGCCAGCCGAUUCUGGUAACGCUCUGUCCGGUUCAAACCUUGUUUAAGUCUUCUCAUAGCUCAGUGAUGCUCGCCAAGACAUCAAUUUGAAUGUAGAUACCUCCAAUCGUCGGGAACACGCUCAUCCGUCCGCAAUGCUCUCGGUCACCGUGGCCAGAGCUCUGUAGUCGGUCGUUCGUGCAAUUAGGUUAGGGGAAAUACUCCUUAGGGGUUUAAUCCUGUGUAUGUCGCUCGGGAGCGCCGGUCACUGCCCCAAUCGGCCGGUUUGCUAGCUCGCCGGAGCGCGGCGGUGCGCGAGCGCCGUCGGGGACUUGAAACACAGAAUAGAUAGAAACCAGAGGGUCUUUUUGUGAAGUGUCAGUGACUUAGAAAAACAGUAACCGAACCUAUCUCCAGUUAGCCAAAACGCCGAGGGCCUCUGCGCAAACUCGCCUCGCGGACGCGGACGCGCGCGCGAUUUCGCGCGGAUCUGGGCCGCCUGGGCUGAAUCCGGCCCAGUUCUAUUUAAUUCUUUUCCUUUUUCUUUUUCAGGAAAACUUUAGAAAUGUGUAGAAAAAUGUAGAAAAAUGCUAAAAAUAUGAGACUAAUUUUCCUAGACUUGUUAUUUUUCCUAGAAUUUAGUAAAAAUAAGUUUGUGAUUUUUAGUGAAAGUAAGAAAUUUUAGGGUAUUUAAAGUGGUUAAAAAUGUUAUUUAUGGAUUUUUAGAAAACAAAUGGUAAGUCCAAAAAUGCUCAAAAUUUUUAUAUGAGUUCCUCAUAAUAUUUAGAAGCCUUGGGUGUAGUUUGAAUUGAUUUGGACCUUGUUUGAUCACCAAACCCCAAAACACCCCCCUGCCCUAUGAACUCCUUUACCGACUCCGGAAACCCUAUGUUCCCGGAACUCCGUGAAGGAAAAUUGUAUUCAAGACAUAAAUAAUAAGUUUAUGUUAUGUUUGCAUCCUCAUGAGCAUCCCAUGGCAUCCAUUCUUAUACAUAUGUAUGGUUAUGAUUAGAACGUGAGGAAGAAAUCGAAGUUACCGAAGAGGAGACACCACCACCUUCGGAGUCUCAGGCCGGGAAUCAUUUCUACUUUGACAUCUGUGGAUCUGAGCCUGAUUCACCUGUGAACGAAGGCAAGCCCCGGUGCAUGCAACCCCUUUCCUUGUGUUUUUAAAUACUUUUUGCACACUUAAGUCUAGUGAAAUGUGCAUUAGGUUCAUAGGAGUUACUUGAAACCCUUUGAUGCAUUGCUCUCCUUGAUAUCCAUACCUUUAUAGAUACUUCUGUGAAGUAUCAAAACAUGAUUCACAAAAAUGCUUAGACUUGCUUAGAUCUUGUGGAUAGAAGUUGUCCUCAAUUUAACCAUGGAGAGGAUGGCUUCUACCUGCAAGAAUAUUUUCAUUUGGAGCAAGAGUGGGAUCUUACUGCAAAGUUCCCUGUGAUGCUCUUUCAUCCUAAGGAACAGACACAAUCCUAAGGAUGGAAAUACUUAAAUUGAGACUUGGGGUAGGAACAGGUGAUGUUCUACCCAGGUUGGUUAAGGAUUAACGCGUAUGUAGGCGUGCUGACCGAGGACCCUUUAACUGGUCACAUGCCUCGUCAUGGGUAAGCCUUGCCUCGGGCAGACUAAGGCCGGAAUAAGAUAACACGAAAUGGGCGUGGAGCGGUGGCGAGAGUAGCGUGUACCCUCCGUGGCAAGAGGCUGGACGGUGGUGUAUCUGUGCUCUCAGUUUGCAUGAACCUGUUCCGGUCUUAAGAACCCCGGUGGCGGGUUGACAUAUGCAAGGGUUAAGUGCUACAUAUGUCGUGUGAUUGGAGAUCCUCAGCUGAGUAUAAUCGAUUCGGAUCGCCGUACCUUCGCGGUUAUGAAGACUUGGUCACUUCCCUGCAACCUAGAGUCAGGAUGUGAACACGAUGGAUAAAAAUGAUGUUAUCUUGAUGUGAUGUGAAAUUAGACUAGAUGCAAAUGGAGUCUAUUAAUACUUAAUAUGGCAUUAAAAGAUUGAAAGUAAGGACUCAUUUUAGUAAGCUACUUCUGCAAAAGUAUAAGUUGAUUUUUGCUAAAGCCUCUCCUUGACUCCUAUUUAUCCAGCAUACCCUUGAAAGUCUUUUCCUUAGUCGGGUAAUACUUGCUGAGUAUUCCAUACUCAGGGUUUAUCCCUUUGUUGUUUUUAGGUGAGGAAGCGACAAACUUUUGUUGCUUCUGCUCCAAGGUGGUACCAAACGAGGAAAAACAAGACUGAAGUGCGGGAGGACUCGGUCCUCCACUUAGGAUCUUUUGUUUAUUAAACUUAUCGGGAGGAGUUUGUGCCUCCCCUGGUUUGUAUAAUAUUACUACUCUGCACUCACUUUUAGUCUGGUCUGUAAUAACAUAACUUAAGCUUGCUUUUGAAAUAAAUGUAAGUUUAUGUAAUUGCUUCCGCAUGUCUUUAUCUCCGAUGUUCUGUAAUGUCUGCAAGACGGGUGAGACGUUCCUGAUAAGGUAAGGAAAGAUACCGAACUUGUCAAGUAGUCAGGGGCACCUGCAGGGUUGUCUAAAGUCCGUUGGACAAGGACAACUGUAGGUGGGCCUAAUUACUUGGGAGGUUCUGUCACAGAUGCAAAGCCCGCGAAGACACCGAUGGGAACGGACGGACAUCUGGACCUCAAUAAAGGAGGUAAGGCCGUUGAUCAAAAGGCAUACCGGUCUAUGACAGGAUCUUUGCUUUACCUUUGCGCUAGUAGACCAGAUAUUAUGCUAAGUGUAUGCAUGUGUGCUUGAUUUCAAUCCGACCCUAAGGAGUGUCACCUUGUGGCCGUUAAGCAAAUUCUUAGAUACUUGGUUUCUACGCCUUGCUUUGGGAUCUGGUAUCCAAAGGGGUCUACCUUUGACUUAAUCAGAUAUUAAGAUUCCGACUAUGCCGGGUGCAAGGUUGAUAGGAAGAGUACAUCAGAGACUUGUCAGUUUCUACGAAGAUCCCUGGUGUCCUGGAGCUCUAAGAAACAAACUUCUGUUGCCCUAUCCACUGCUGAGGCCGAGUAUGUUGCCGCAGGACAGUGUUGCGCGCAACUACUUUGGAUGAGGCAAACCCUCCAGGAUUUUGGCUACAAUCUGAGCAAAGUCCCACUCCUAUGUGAUAAUGAUAGUGCAAUCUGCUUGGCGGACAAUCCUGUUGAACACACCGCACUAAGCACAUAGACAUCCGGCAUCACUUUUUGAGAGACCAGCAACAAAGGGGAGAUAUCGAUAUUUAUCAUAUUAGCACCGAGAACGAGCUAGCCAAUAUCUUCACCAAGUUUUUAGAUGAGAAAAGGUUUUGCAGGUUGCAUAGUGAGCUAAAUGUCUUAGAUUCGCGUAACUUGGAUUGAUCUAUAGCAUACAUGUGUACUAUGCCUUUGAUCAUAUUACUUUAAGCAUUAAUGUCUUUAAUUACUUAUUUUUGGUGCUCAAGUUGUACAAGUCAUCCCCGGACCUCACAAGUCCAAAUGCAAAUGAUGCACAUGUUUAGGGGGAGGAUGUGCUACAACUUCACCCCUUAAGACUAACUUGUUUGUUGAGUACUCUUGAAAUAGUCUCAAAGGUAUAUUGAAAGGGAAAAGUGAACUUGGACAAAGAAAGGACUACCACUGCAUUCCGGUAUAAAUGUAUCUUGUUCCAAGCUUGUACUUGUGUUCUCAUUGCCUUUUGUGCUUAUUUGACAUUUUGGUGAGGAAAUGGAGUUAAAGGGUCAAAAGUUGUCACACCCGUUUCCCAAGGGUAGAGCCGGGUGCAUAGCAUAUGUGUGCCAGGAUCUAUUUCCACACAUAUGUUGACGUCACAAGUGUAAUAUAUCAAAAGAACAAUGCAUAAAAGCGUAAAUAACGAUUAUAUUAACAUAUUACACUUCGAACAGACAUAUUGUCUUAACCUUUAUUCAUCAAAGUAUAGCAAAACAGGGACAUCCAUCCACAGGAAGAUGACCGGGGGUAUCACUAGACUAGCAUCCAUGGAGUUCACCAUCAAAAUCUUCAUCUGCAAACUUCUAAUCAAAAUUAAGCAAGGGUGAGCUCACUUAUGGUCGGGGCUCAGCAAGUGGGGGAAAAACUAAUGCAAGGUAACAAGGUGAGGCUAAGGUUGAGCAGUAAGCAUUUUAGUUGGUCAACAUUUUAUUCACAACACCUGUCUUACUAAUAAGUGUGAAUCCCAAGUAUUCCCAUUAAACAAAGGUAUAAGAGUAUAUAAAAAACACUUAAGUGAAACCACUUAAGCAAACCAUUGGCAGAUCAUCGGAUCUCGAUUUAUCUCCAUCUUCAAGUUCAAUUAUCAUGUGAGGAGUCCAGGCUGCUCAUAACCGUGAGCACGGCUGAUAUAUCAGUUUUACACUCUGCAGAGGUGGUACAACUUUACCCACAAGCCGUGUAUCCCCUCUAGCCUGGGUCGGCCAAAACCCGUAAACACUUCCGAUGUGAGUGGCUAGGGAUCCACUAUGAGGCUUUCACAAAAUACACUUAAUACGAAGCAACCCGCUACGGUUUCUAAAGACGAUGGUGGUGGCCCCCUGGGUGAGGUACCUUAGCCAAGAAUACGUCCCCAUGUUAACGUGGGCUGCCAACACCUACCGCUCCCCCUCUUGCCCAUAUUUCAGGUAAGGUUGCCAGACACUAAGCAUAUAAAGCUAGUUACCAAAGCCAGAGCCAUGAUAGCACUCAUGGUUGCACUGUUUUCCCGGGUGGUCACUCCAUGUUCCAAUUAAUAUGCAAUAAUCUUGUUUAACCAUCGGGUUAAUAACAAUAAUGUAAACUUACCAUUUUGGAACAUUAAUAUCAUAAGCGGGAGUGACUGCAUAAAGUUAAGUUGUAGCAAUAGCAUAGCUACGAAGGUAAAGUAUAAUUCCCAGGUUUGAUCAAGGAAUAAGGUUGGAAAGGUUAUCUAAAUAGGUAACCCAUCAAAUUAUGCAUAUAUAUCCAAAAGAAUAAACUUUAUUAAAUGUAUUGUUUGGGAUCAAACAGAGUAUGCAGAGGGAGAAGUCCACUUGCCUUGCUUAUUGAAAACUUGAGACUCUUCCACGGAUCUGAAUAGAUCUUGAUUCUUAACUACUAGAUCAACCACUGAAUAUCACACAAACAAACAAGAAGAAACAAACACCACUCAAUAACUUACAACAUUCACCAUACAUAAAGCUAAAAGAAAGCCUAACGAAAAGAGCGUUCGCUUUUAAAGAACAUCGCAAGUAAUGGUUAUAAUAAGAGGGUAUUCUUUUCAAAAAUGUGUGAUCUAUACUUUUGUCGGGGACCAUAAUUAGGGGUACCCUCAAGACUCCUAAUUCUCAGCUGGUAACCCCCAUCAGCAUAAAGCUGCUAAGGCCUGAUGGGUGCGAUUAAGUCAGGGAUCGGUCCAUUCGAGCGACUCGAUCACGCCUCGCCCGAGCCUAGCCUCGGACAAGGGCAGCCGACCCCGGAGGAUUUCCGUCUCGCCCGAGGCCCCCCUCCGACGGUGAGCAUAUUUCCGGCUCGCCCGAGGCCCUGCCUUCGCUAAGAAGCAACCCUGACUAAAUCGCCGCACCGACCGACCAAAUCGUAGGAGCAUUUAACGCAAAGGUGGCCUGACACCUUUAUCCUGACGCGCGCCCCCUAGUAGAGCCGAAGUGACCGCCGUCACUUCGCCGCUCCACUGACCGGCCUGACAGAAGGACAGCGCCGCCUGCGCCACUCCGACUGCAGUGCCACUUGACAGAGUGAGACUGACAGGCAGUCAGGCCCAAAGGCACCAUAGGAAGCUCCGCUCCGCCCGACCCAGGGCUCGGACUCGGGCUAAGUCCCGGAAGACGGUGAACUUCGCUCCGCCCGACCCAGGGCUCGGACUCGGGCUAAGUCCCGGAAGACGGCGAACUCCGCUCCGCCCGACCCAGGGCUCGGACUCGGGCUAAGUCCCGGAAGACGGCGAACUCCGCUCCGCCCGACCCAGGGCUCGGACUCGGGCUAAGUCCCGGAAGACGGCGAACUCCGCUCCGCCCGACCCAGGGCUCGGACUCGGGCUAAGUCCCGGAAGACGGCGAACUCCGCUCCGCCAGACCCAGGGCUCGGACUCGGGCUAAGUCCCGGAAGACGGCGAACUCCGCUCCGCCCGACCCAGGGCUCGGACUCGGGCUCAGCCCCAGAAGACGACGAACUCCGCUUCGCCCGACCCCAGGGCUCGGACUCUGCCCCGGCCUCUGCCGACGAUCUCCGCCUCGCCCGACCCAGGGGCUCAGACUCAGCCUCGGCCAUGGAAGACAGACUCGACCUCGGCUUCGGAGGAGCCUCCACAUCGCCCAACCUAGGGCGCAGGCCAGCCACGUCAACAGGAGGCGCCAUCAUCACCCUACCCCGAGCUGACUCGGGCCACAGGGAACAAGACCGGUGUCCCAUCUGGCUAGCUCUGCCAGAUAGGCAAUGAUGGCGCCCCGCAUACUCUGUGACGACGGCGGCUCUCAGCCCCCUUACGGAAGCAAGAGGACGUCAGCAAGGACUCAACCGCUCCGACAGCUGUCCCUCCGCCAGGCUCCAUCGCUCCUCCGACGGCCACGACAUCACACCAGCUGGGUGCCAAAAUCUCUCCGGCUGCCACAUCGGCAUGUACUUAGGGCGCUAGCUCUCCUCCGCUAUACACGUAGCACUCCGCUACACCCCCCAUUGUACACCUGGAUCCUCUCCUUACGCCUAUAAAAGGAAGGACCAGGGCCCUCUUAGAGAGGGUUGGCUGCGCGGGGUCGAGGACGAGACAGGCGCUCGCUUGGAAGCCGCUCGCUCCCUCACCCGCGUGGACGCUUGUAACCCCCUACUGCAAGCGCACCCGACCUUGGCGCGGGACGAACACGAAGGCCGCGGGAUUCCCACCUCUCUCACGCCGGUCUCCGGCCGCCUCGCUUCUCCCCCCUUCGCGCUCGCCCUCGCGCUCGACCCAUCUGGGCUGGGGCACGCGGCGACACUCACUCGUCGGCCCAAGGGACCCCCCGGUCUCGAAACGCCGACAGUUGGCGCGCCAGGUAGGGGCCUGCUGCGUGUUGACGAACAACUUCCCGUCAAGCUCCAGAUGGGCAGUCUCCAGCAACCUCUCCAACCUGGGACGGUGCUCCGUUUCGGGAGUCUUGAGUUCAUGUCCCUCGACGGCAGCUACGACAUGAUACUCCUUCCACCGCCGCGCGACAACGACAAUGGCGGCCGACAGCCCGCCAGCCGGCGGCGGAAUCGACGACGUCUUCCCCGCGUGGUGGAAGAACAACCUUCGAGCUCGUCCCGCCUUCUUCCCCGCCGACGAAGGGGAAGGCAGGGCAACCAAGGCCAAGCAGGAGGCAGCGCCUCGUUGGCUGUCGAGCGAGUCGACAGCGCCGGCACCCCAACGAGGGGCGCACCGGGUAUCGACUUCGCGCCUGAGACGAAGAAGAGCGCCGUCUCCCCGUGACACGCCAGUCCCGAGCAAGCGGACGACGCCAGCACGCUCGCAGAGAGCUUGCUGGACGUCACCCUCGUACCUGAGACGACGGUGCAGUUAGCCCCCGAUGUGACUUUAUCGCCGCUCGUCGACCAAGAGGUACUGACCAAUUCCCAUCCCACAUCAUUUGGAUUCAGCCUCAACCCGCCUAGCGACCUUGCUUUGGCGGGCGCUCUCAUAGAGGCGAGUCCAAACCCUCUGGGGUUUCGCAUGCGGUCGCCUUGGGACCGGCUGACGGACAUCUCGACCUACGGGCCCUCUGGGUCCGAGGAAGACGACGAGCCCAGCAUCUGUUGGGAUUUCUCUGGACUUGGCAACCCCAGUGCCAUGCGGGACUUCAUGACCGCAUGUGACUACUGCCUCUUCGACCGUUCCGACGGUAGCCGCAGCCUCGACGACGAGGACUGCGGCCCAAGCCGCGAAUGUUUCCACGUCGAUCUAGGGGGUCCCUCCGAAGGCAAUCAUCUCGGCAUGCCGGAGGAUGGUGAUCUCCCUAGGCCGGUGCCCCGCGUUGACAUCCCACGGGAGCUAGCUGUGGUCCCCGUUCAGGCGGGGGGCCAUGACCCACAGCUCGAGCAAAUCCGCGGGGUGCAGGCCAGGCUCGAUGAGGGAACAUGAGCGCUUGAGCCGAUCCGCCGGGACAUCGGGCAGGCAUGGGUGGGCCAACCCCCGGCCGGAGAAAUACGUCAUCUGCCCCAGGGCUUCCAGCACCGCGUCGCAGACGACAUCCGGUUCAGGCCGCCACCCGCAUCUAGUGGGGUCGGCCAGAACCUGGCCGCAGCAGCGAUGCUUCUCCGCGCGAUGCCGGAGCCAUCAACCACCGAGGGUCGGCGAAUCCAGGGGGAGCUCAAGAAUCUCCUGGAAGGCGCCGCGGUCCAAUGGGUCGAGAGCUCUGCCUCCCAAAGGCAGGGAUACCCCUCGGAACCUCAUGCCGCGACUUCCCGAUUCAUGCGGGAAGCCUCGGUCUACACCGGGCGCACGCGCAACACCGCGCCUGCGGCCCCGGGCGGCCUCGGCAACGAGCACCAUCACCGCGACCGUCGGGCCCACCUCGACGAGAGGGUGCGCCGAGGCUACCACCCCAGGCGUGGGGGACGCUACGACAGCGGGGAGGAUCGGAGCCCCUCGCCCGAACCGCCCGGUCCGCAGGCCUUCAGCCGGGCCAUCCGACGGGCACCGUUCCCGACCCGGUUCCGACCCCCGACUACUAUCACAAAGUACUCGGGGGAGACGAGACCGGAACUGUGGCUCGCGGACUACUGCCUGGCCUGCCAACUGGGUGGAACGGACGACGACAACCUCAUCAUCCGCAACCUCCCCCUGUUCCUCUCCGACACCGCUCGCGCCUGGUUGGAGCACCUGCCUCCAGGGCAGAUCUCCAACUGGGACGACCUAGUCCAAGCCUUCGCCGACAAUUUCCAGGGCACGUACGUGCGCCCCGGGAAUUCCUGGGAUCUCCGAAGCUGCCGACAGCAGCCGGGAGAGUCUCUCCGGGACUACAUCCGGCGAUUCUCGAAGCAGCGCACCGAGCUGCCCAACAUCACUAACUCGGAUGUCAUCGGCGCGUUCCUCGCCGCCACCACCUGCCGCGACCUGGUGAGCAAGUUGGGUCGCAAGACCCCCACCAGGGCGAGCGAGCUGAUGGACAUCGCCACCAAGUUCGCCUCCGGCCAGGAGGCGGUCGAGGCUAUCUUCCGAAAGGACAAGCAGCCCCAGGGCCGCCCAUCAGAAGAUGCUCCCGAGGCGUCUACUCAGCGCGGCGCCAAGAAGAGAGGCAAGAAGAAGUCGCAAGCGAAACGCGACGCCGCCGACGCGGGCCUUGUCGCCGCCGCCGAGUACAAGAACCCCCCGGAGGUGCCAACCUCUUCGACAAGAUGCUCAAGGAGCCGUGCCCCUAUCACCAGGGGCCCGUCAAGCACACCCUUGAGGAGUGCGUCAUGCUUCGGCGCCACUUCCACAGGGCCGGGCCACCCGCGGAGGGUGACAGGGCCCGCGACGAUGACAAGAAGGAAGAUCACCAAGCAGGAGAGUUCCCCGAGGUCCGCGACUGCUUCAUGAUCUAUGGUGGGCAAGCGGCGAAUGCCUCGGCUCGGCAUCGCAAGCAACAGCGCCGGGAGGUCUGCUCGGUGAAGGUGGCGGCGCCAGUCUACCUGGACUGGUCCGACAAGCCCAUCACCUUCGACCAAGCCGAUCACCCCGACCACGUGCCGAGCCCGGGGAAAUACCCGCUCGUCGUCGACCCCGUCAUCGGCGACGUCAGGCUCACCAAGGUCCUUAUGGACGGAGGCAGCAGCCUCAACAUCAUCUACGCCGAGACCCUCGGGCUCCUGCGCGUCGAUCUGUCCUCCGUCCGAGCAGGCGCUGCGCCCUUCCACGGGAUCAUUCCCGGGAAGCGCGUCCAGCCCCUCGGACGACUCGACCUUCCCGUCUGCUUCGGAACGCCCUCCAAAUUUCGAAGGGAGACUUUGACGUUCGACACUAGUAAGAAUGUGAUCAUCAGUGACGAUUUUCUAGUGACGCUGGUGACUUCAGUCACAGAUUGAUACAUUUCUAUGACCAAAUUGAUAGCUUCGUCAACAAUUACAAGGGACGAAGAUUAGACUUGAAUAUUAAAGACGAAAAUGAAAGGAACGUCAUAGACGAAAAUGAAAGGAACGUCACAGAUUAAUUUGGCUUGAUCGGCUGACGUAAUACUGAAAUAAAUUGGUCACAGAUGAGUUUUAGUAAAAAACGACCCACUUGUACACACGGCGUGGGAUCCUUGGCCUACAUGGGCCGCAGUUUUUUGGGACACAGCCCCCACCUGGCGACGCGGACCCGGCCCAGUACGAAGCGGCAGUUAGAUAUUUGGCAAAAAAAAGGUGCGCCUGCGGAGCUUCGAACUAGGGACUUGCGGCUUGCGUUAAAUCGUUGCUACCACCAGACUACGGACUUGUUCAUGUAUAUAAAGAAACUAUCCUUUUAUUAAUGUGUUCCCAUCUGUCGUUAUGUUAACAGGUUUCCCAGCCGCCAUUCUGCGAUCUGCAUGGUUCGCCUGUUCUGUUUUUUCCUGGUGCGAUCUGCGCUUCUGCGAUCGGCCGUCAGGUUACGGCACACAACGACGCCGGCGUCUGUCGUCGUCCGCUUGAUCGGCAACUGGGUAGCGUCGCAGCGAACGAGCGAUCUUGUCGCCUGAUCCAUUGAUCCAACUGUGUUGGAAGAACGACGUCGUCUGCAAACAGCGAGGCAGAGAAGCUUCGGGCGCGGCAAAGCAGCGGCGUCUUGCGCAUAGCUACGACGGGCGUGGACAGAACAGCGGCAGGGCGGGGAGAAAAGACAAGGUUUGAUGUGUUGUGUUUUUGACAAUAAGGUUCUAUGUGCGUUUGAAUUUUAUUUCAUAUAUGCAUGUGUUUGAUGUGGUUUUCAAUUUUGUUCGAUGUAAUCAUAGUUAUGGAGUUAAUGCAAGUUUUAAUUUAUUGUCAAAAUAGAUGGGUAGAAGAUGGGUUUAUGGGAAACAAUUCACACCUGCAUAUGUGAAAGGAGUUGAAGAGUUCAUGAAUUUUGUUACUGAAAGAUACCCAGAAGACACAGACAUUCGUUGUCCGUGCGUGAAUUGUCUUAAUCAAAGGUUGCGACCUCAGAGUGAAGUAGAAACUCAUAUACACAUUUAUGGAAUGUCAGCUACAUACACGAGGUGGAUUCAUCAUGGGGAGUCGGCAGAUACAGAAGUUGAGGGUAUAGAGGAGGAUGUCGAAGGAUAUGAUAAUGACUUUGGGAUACAUAUGGAUGUGGACGAUGAUAUUUACGAUGAUGAUCAUGGAGUACCUGAGAUGAUCGGUGAACUGUUUGCAGCGGCAGAGGCUGAUGGAGAAGAGCCAAGAUUUGCAGGAGUUCUUGGAGAUUCAAAGAAGGCACUUAGUCCGGGUUCUAGCCAUUCAAAAUUUUCUUUUAUGGUGAGGAUGUUGUAUAUGAAGUCUCGUUAUCGAAUCAGCAAUACAGCAUUUUCAGCAAUGAUGAAGCUGAUGUCCGAUGGAUACCCUAAUAGUGAGUUGCCAAAAUCAUAUAAUGAGGCCAUGAAAUAUCUUAAAGAAUUGGGCCUUGGAUACGAAAACAUCCAUGUGUGCAAGAACAAUUGUGUGUUGUUUCGGAAUGUUAAUGCUAAAUUGAAUGAGUGCCCAGUAUGCACGGAGUCUAGAUGGAAAGAUGAAACUGGUUCGAAGCGGGUUCCACAUAAGGUUUUGAGGCAUUUUCCACUGUUGCCAAGGUUGAAAAGAAUUUUUGCUUCAAAACAAACUUCAGAGGAAACACAAUGGCACAAGAAAGUGAGGAAGCCAGUCGCCAAUGUGAUGAGCCAUCCAGCUGAUGGGGAAGCGUGGAAGGACUUUGACCGAAAGUACCCAGGUUUUGCAAAUGAUCCGAGGAACCUGAGGCUAGCCUUAGCUACCGAUGGAUUCAAUCCAUUUGGAAACAUGAGUACCCAGUACAGUAUGUGGCCAGUGCUUGUGACACCGCUUAAUCUCCCACCAUGGGAAUGCGUGAAUCCAACAAACUGCUUUAUGUCUUUACUCAUCCCAGGUCCAAGAUGUCCAGGAAAGGAUUUUGAUUUGUUCCUUGAGCCCCUAAUUGAAGAACUGCUGAAGCUAUGGAAGGGUGUCAAGACAUAUGAUGCAUGUACUGGUAGGAAGUUCGACCUUCGUGCUGCUGUACUAUGGUGUAUACAUGAUUAUCCAGCGCUGGCCACGUUAUCUGGGCGAACAACAAAAGGGUAUUAUGCAUGUAUUUAUUGCGACAAGAAUCCGUUGUCUAUGGCAAUAAGGAACAAGUUAUGCUACAUUGGACAUCGUCGUUACCUUAAAAGGACACAUUCAUGGCGGAAUAGCUUGGAUUUCAAUGGUAAGCGUGAAAACAAAGUUGUGCCUGGCAGGUUCACUGUGGAUGAGGUCCUACAAGAGCUAGAGAAGGUGAAAGAUGUCAGACCAGGGAAGCAGGCUGACAUUACUGGAAAUAAAAGGAAGCGUAGUAGUGACGGUCCAAAGAUUUAUAGCCGGAAAUCUGGGUUAUGGCAAUUGCCAUAUUGGAAAGAUUUGAUGCUUCCACAUAAUCUCGAUGUGAUGCACAUAGAGAAAAAUGUAUGUGAAAAUAUUCUUUGCACACUACUUAGUAUACCAGGCAAGUCCAAGGACACACAUAAUGCAAGGCUAGAUUUGUAUGAUAUGGGCAUAAGACCUGAACUGCACUUGCAACAAGAUGGCAACUCGGCCUGCAGGGCUCCACCUGCUCCAUAUGUGUUGGGGAAGGAUCAGAAAGUCGAGUUUUGCAAGUUCCUCAAAGGUAUCAAGUUUCCUGAUGGAUUUGCGGAUAACCUAGCAAGAUACAUAAGUGAAGAUGGUUCAAAGGUGGUUGGAAAACUGAAAACACAUUCUUGCCACAUACUCCUACAGAGAAUCAUAGCCGCUGGCCUUAGAGGACUGGUGAGGAAGGAUGUAUAUGAAGCAAUUGCAGAGCUGGGGACCUUCUUCAGGGAACUAUGUAGUAGAAAUCUACGGAUAGAUGUUGUGCAACGGCUAAAAGGAGAUAUUCCAUUGAUCCUAUGCAAGCUUGAGAAAAUAUUUCCACCUGCCUUCUUUGAUGUCAUGGUGCACUUGAGUGUCCAUCUUCCCGAUGAGGCAAUGCUUAGAGGACCUGUUCAGUAUGGAUGGAUGUACCCAAUAGAAAGGCGACUAGGCACUUUGAAAAAUUUUGUAAGGAACAGGGCUAGGCCGGAAGGAUCAAUUGCUGAGGCAUAUAUGGCAAGUGAUACCUUAACAUUUUGUUCUAGGUACAUGAAGGAUGUUGACACUAGAUUUAACCAGGAUGAUGAUAGUGGUACAGAGAUGCCAUUGCCUAAUGACAUGUCUGUUUUUAAGCAUGGUGCUACUCUUGUUGGAGGUACUAAGACUGAGUACAUUGAUGAUGCUACCAUGAAUAAGUUAGUUUGGUAUGUGCUACAUAAUGCUGAUGAAGUACAGGAAUAUUUGACGUAAGUUAGUUUGGUAUGUGCUACAUAAUUUAUGUUAUGUUUAUUAAAUUUGCAAAUAUGCUUAUGAAUAAAGUAUGCCAUGCAGUCUGUACAGGGAGGAGCUAUCGCAGCAAGGUGCACGUCCAAAUGAUGUUGAUCGAAUGGUUCAACAAGGAUUUGCAAAGUGGUUUAUGUCCCAUGUAAGUCACUAAACUUUUAUGUUAUAGGUUUACUAAAGUUUUGGGUAUGCAUAUGUAAUUGCUCAGCUGAGUAAUUUUGUUGCAACAGGUUGAGAAGAAGCGUAAUGAGAAUCCAGAAUUGGUUAGCGAAGGACUGUGGGCACUGUCAUGUGGCCCAGCUCGGCGAGUUAAGACUAGUACAACUUGCAAGAUUAAUGGAGUGCGGUUUAGCACAGUGGAUCGUGAGAAGUUCAUGCAGACACAAAAUAGUGGUGUAAUGACUGAAGGUGAACAUAAUGGGGAGAACAUAGAUUUUUAUGGUGUCCUUAAAGAGGUAAUUGAGUUACAAUAUAACUCGAAUUAUCAAGUUCGUCGGUCGGUGGUUGUAUUUCGAUGCGAUUGGUACAACCAAGUAGGAAAGACUGUGGGCAUUCGAGAUGACAGCCAUUUCAAAUCCAUCAAUGUGCAGUCAUUUUGGUACAAGUCCGAUCCUUUUAUCUUGGCAGACCAAGCGAAAAAGAUAUUUUACCUGCAAGACACAACUCCACAAUGUAAAGAUUUCCGAGUUGUGCAGAAAUUUGAGCAUAGGAAUAUUUAUGAUGUGGCUGAAAAAUAUGAGGGCAAUAAUGAUGUGCAUCAGGAUGAUUAUUGUUCUGAUACAGACCAUAUAGUGCAAGAAGGUGAUGAUAAUCAGGUUCUGCACAAUGUUGAAGGUGGAGAAGCCAGUCUAAUUGAAGGCAAUUUAGAGGAACUAAUAAGAAAAAAAGAAGGAAGCUGCUAUUAUUCUUAAAGAUAGUGAGGAUGAGGAGGAAGAUGAUACAAUGUUUCAAUAUUUUAAUGAUGGUGGCGAUGACAACAAUGAUGACAUGUCUAUAGAAGAUGAAGAUGAGGAUUUCUAGUAUUGAUAGUUGAUUUAUGAAGUGUUCAGUUCAGAUUAGUACGGAUAGAUGAUACAAUGUAUUUUCUGUAUUUUCAGAACUGAAUGUGUGUCUGAAAUACUGAAUUUGGGGUGAACUGAACUUGUGGUGAACUGAAUGUGUAUUAAUCUGAACAUCUGAGCAAGUUUUAAUUUAUUGUCAAAAUUUAAGCUGGGUUUUAAUCUGAAAAUGCAGAACUCUGAACUGAUCUCUGAAAAUGAAAUGACCAUCUGGGCAGUUUAGAAUCUGAACUUUGAACUGGGCAGUUUAGAAUCUGAUUGCUUUGAACUUUGAACUGGGCAGAGUUCUCAGAUUGCUUGAACUGGGCAGUUUAGAACUCAUUAGUUUAGAACUCAUUAGUUUAGAAUCUGAACUGGGCAGUUUAGAACUCAUUAGUUUAGAAUCUGAACUUUGAACUGGGCAGAGUUCUCAGAUUGCUUGAGAAUUUAUGAACUUUGGCUGGUUUUGUGGAUUUGAAUCUGAACUUUGAACUUUGGACUGAGCUAUAUAUCUCAGAGAACUGAACUUUGAACAAAUAGAUAACCAACAAAUCUGAGCUGGUUUUUUGGAUUUGAAUCUGAACUUUGAACAAAUAGAUAACCAACAAAUCUGAGCUAGUUUUGUGGAAUUGAAUCUGAACUUUGAACAAAUAGAUAACCAACAAAUCUGAGCUGGGCAGCAAUCUGAACUGGGCACCAAUCUGAACUGGGCAGCAGAGUUUACUCUGAACUGAACAAUCUGAAAAUGCAGACUCUGAACUGGGCGCUCGGUUACAUCCUGGACAGAGAACAGUUUAUGCUUAAAUAUAAAUGCGCUCUGUUACUAACGAACAAACGUGACUAGUCCAAUGGUAACUCCUUGCUGCUGUGAACCUUGGCGUCUUGUGUUCGAGCUUUGGGAUAGGUAGGUUUUUUUUGUUUUGUUUACAUUUUUCAAUCAUUUUCGAAUUUUUCUUUUAUUUAUUUACAUGUAUAGCACCUGUUUCUCCAAAUCAUUUCAACCUUUUUUUGGGGUGUUAAUGGAGGUGUACCAUGAUGUUUUGUGCCGGUGCAAUUUUUAGAACUAGUUUAACUAUUAAUGUAAGUAUUUGUUAUUUUACUAAAGAAUAAGUGCUAAAAAACCUUAGGUAGCUAGAAAAAUCUAUAAACUUGCAUGUACACUUCAUUUUGGUGUACAAUGUUGACAAAAACAUGCAAUUUGUUCUGACAAAGUGGUGACAUACAUCCUACAAAAAUGCAUACAGCCCUCAUAUAAGGCUAAUUACUAAGUGAGACAUGUUCAUGCUUGUGAUGGAUCUAUACUACCACUUUCUCCAAAUCAUUUUAAACUUUAAUGGCAUGUUUAUUGAACCAACCUAUGAUGUUGUGUGCAGUUAUGCAUUUUUCAGACCUAGUUUACUAAUUACUGUAAUUAUUUGUUGUAUUUCGUAAAUAUAUUUGUUACAAUACCAUAGCCUAGCUAGAAAACUCUAAAAACUUGCAUGGACCAUUCAUUUUGGUGUACAAUGUUCACAAAAUAGUUUCAACUCAUUCGGACAAAGUGGUGACACACAUCCUAAGAAAGGCAUACAUCUCUCAUACAAGGCUAAUUACUAAGUGAGACAUGUUCAUGCUUGUGAUGGAUCUAUACUACCACUUUCUCCAAAUCAUUUUAAACUUUAAUGACAUGUUUAUUGAACCAACCUAUGAUGUUGUGUGCAGUUAUGCAUUUUUCAGACCUAGUUUACUAAUUACUGUAAUUAUUUGUUGUAUUUCGUAAAGAUAUUUGUUACAAUACCAUAGCCUAGCUAGAAAACUCUAAAAACUUGCAUGGACCAUUCAUUUUGGUGUACAAUGUUCACAAAAUAGUUUCAACUCAUUCGGACAAAGUGGUGACACACAUCCUAAGAAAUGCAUACAUCUCUCAUAUAAGGCUAAUUACUAAGUGAGAGAUGCUAUUGCAAGUGAGAGAUGUAUAGUACCACUAUUGCAAAAAUAUUUCAAAAUAUUAUAACAUGAUCAUAAACCCAACUAAUGUGUCUAUGAAUAGAUAAUUGCAAAACAAAACAUAGAGAUAAAUAAAAAACAAAGAAUUAAUAUAAAAUGGUAUGCAAAACACAAAAAAAGUCUCCUUGCAGGCGCUUGAACCUUGGAGCUCGGCCUUAUAGUUAGCAAGUCAAACCAUUGGGCUAUGCACGUGUUUUCGACAUAUACCCAGCGCUAGUAUACUUAAACGCAUUAGACUCCGCAUUGCCAAACACAUUGGGCGCCAAAAACAUUUUCGCCGUCGUCACUAAAACAGACUCCGCUCUCAUCCUCUAUCUCCCGCACUCCUCUUAUUUCUCCCCCACUCUUCUUUCUCCCCCACUUCUCCAAACCUAAUCGCCGCCGCCGGGACACGACGGCUGUCGACGACCUGCCCCCUCGACCAGGAACCUCACCGCCGCCGCUGGGACACAUUCGCCGUCGACGACCUGCCCCCUCGACCAGGUACCUCACAGCCGCCCCCUUACCUCUAAUUCACUCGCCGCAUCCCGCUCUAUCUCAUUGCCAUCCGCAUUUCUCUCGCCCCUUCCACCUAACACGCCCCAUCCACAUUGCUCUCGCUAACCCCUAAACCCUAACAUCGCUGGAUUUGGGUCAUCGCAGACGACCUUGAUGGUGAA
rnacentral:lncRNA from 1 species